rnacentral:lncRNA from 1 species
UCACCAUACUGCCCAUCAAACUCGAAGAAUACGGGUGGUAUAGAGUAAUUCAAUCGCUUCACGACUUCGUCAAAGAGGUCAACGCAAAAACCUACAGGCCGCUCCUCGCCAGUUCGAAAUGUCACAAACUUAUUGAACGAGGUUCUUUUAGGGACUAUUAUUCGCAUGGCUUUGCUUCACUAGGCAUUGCCCAUCCUUUUGGAUCUCGGCCGUUGAGAUCCCCAGGACAAAUCACUGGACCGGACAACCCUCCCGAGGUUUUACCACCAUCACUGUUUCUGCACCUUCCUUUGCCUUGUUCCACGUAGAGGGUAUCCGAGAAACCGCAAUUUGGCAACCAAAAAUCCAGUUCCUUACAUUUCUUCCCAACCACAUUAACAAUCCUUAAUGUAGGAGCAUCUGACAGCAUCCCAUCCUUGAAACGUAUUCUACCACUCAAACCAGUGAAAUCGCUUUCUAAUACGCUGUUUAGAAACAUUUUUGGACUAGUAAUGUUGCUACCUAAUUUUUCUAUGGCCUGUGUGACAAUACCAAUGCUGUCAGAGGCUCUUAAUGCUUGAAUUCCUGGCUCAAAAUCAUCUUCAUUUAGAUACUCUGACCGAAAAAGUUUCUGGAACAGUGCUUCGAAUCUUUUGUAAGAACUGUUGGAAGAAUAGUGGGUUUUGAUUCCUAGAGUGCCUUCCAUAGAAGAAAAAACAGGAUUGUCCACAGAAUCCAAGAAAACUAGUAAUACUGUUUGCAACUAUCCAGACUGUGUCAUUUCCUACAAGCCCCGCUUUCUUAGCUUCUCCGAAAAUACAAGUGAGCAUAGGCAAAGAUGACUGAAGAACAAUAAAAACACGAGCUUCUGUUUGAUGUUUUAGCUUCAUAAGCUCAUCUUGAACAACAUCUAUUGGAUCUGUUAAAAAUGAAAACGGUGGAAGAACCAAGCGGUAUUCGAUCUCCGAACCAACCUCUUGUAGAGCCUCGGUUAAAAGAGCAAAAUUGCCAGAUUCACUUCCUAACACGUCAUCUUCAUAAAUCACUACUGCCCUUUUCCAAUUAUAUGAAUGGACAAGAGCUGCAAUGCAACUCAUCUGUUCUGACCCAUCACUGGCCAUUCUAAUUAGAAAAGGCCAACGAAGUGAAGUUGAUAUCGGGGUUCUGGCUGGUGCUGCAAAUGAAAGAAUUGGAACUUGAGACUGGUUUCCAAUAUUAGCAACCAGGGCUGCUUCCUCCCAUUUGUCCAUGCCAAUAAUCACUUCCACUUUCUUCUCUUUGAUCAGCUCUUCAGCUGCAAGAAAAAUUGACCAGUCACUACUGCUUCAAAUCUUGUUAAUGUUAAGCUAGAAACUCAAAAUCAUUUAGAGAUGGCUAGAUUAUUUACCUGCAUAAGCUGCUUGAAGAGGGUCUCCUUUAGGAUGCUUGAAGUGGAGAGCUUGUGGUUGCUUGAGAUGUUGUUGAAGUUUUGGACUGCAAUUUCCAUUGCUGUUUUCUCUUCUUUUCCUGUACGGGAAUUACCAUCGAUGAUAGCACCAAUAUUAGUAACCGUGUUCGUGCUGGCCGCAGCUUCAACUCCAUUGGAGAGGAUGAGAAGGAAGUUGAUGAGCACAGAUAAAAGAAAGCAAUGUUUUAGAACUUUAUUAACAGGAAUAAGAGGGCAAGUGCUUAGUUGGGAAUUUACUUUGGUGAACAAAUUAGUACUUUUCAUUCUGUUAUACGAAGUUUUGAUUUUGAAAGUCUUAAAAUCCUUGUAAUACAUGGAUAUACACACACACACACAUUCAGCAAAGAUUUAUCUGUAGAAGGGGAAGACCAGAUUCUAUCUGACCUGGUCAACCUGGACCACAUCAAACUAUUUGUCCAUGGAACCCAAGCUACCAAGAAUGGUGUCGAAAUGUCCCAAGUAUUUCUACACCUUGACUUGGAUAAAAGUAAACUACACGUACUAAUUAAUAAUUGCCUACUUGAGUCAAAUUUCUUGUUUUCAUCACACCUCUCUCACAUUUGAGGGUCGUUUCAGUUUAGUGAUGCAAUUGCGUGUUUUGACAAAGUGUGUGAUAUUAAACAAUUAUAGUUUAUUCAAUCUAAUCAAUGAUUAAAAAUGAACGACGAAAUCAACCAAACCACAAGACUAAAUCUUGUUAAAAAAUAUAAGAUUAUUUUAUUUUAUUGUUUAUUAAAGAUAUAGUAGUUAUUACCAGAAAAUCAACGAAAACGAACGAAAUUACCGACGAAAUUUUUUCGUCGGUAAUUUUUACUGACGGAAAUAAUUUCGUCUCUAAUUUUGUCGGUAUAUACCAACAGACCAUUUCUGUCUGCAAUACGGUCGGUAUAUACUGACGGAAUAUGUCCAUCGGUAUAUACCGACCGUAUUGCUGACGAAUUAUAUAGAUUUUUGAAAAGUUGCAACGGUGUGAUGAUGUGGAUUUUUUUCAGAUGAUUUUACCGAUGGAAUGACCGAGGGAUUCAAACUAGGAUCUCCGUACAGUGACGUGGCACAUUCACCGGCGGACUUACCGACAGAAUGUUUCGUCGGUGAUUCCAUCGGUAAAAGCCAAUAUAUACCCACUAUGCCGACUCUUUCUUCCUCUAUUUCUCUUUCUUCUUCCCCUUCUUCCCAUCCCAACUCUCCCCUCCCAAAUUGCAGCCAACCACCCAUCCCAUUUCUCCCACUCUUCUCAACACAAGCACUCAAGUUUCUUAUACUUUUAAACGUGGUCACAACAUCCGUUCUCCGAGCAAUUUAUUGUGGAUUUUAUCAUUUUUUGUAAGUAAAUCUAUCAAUUUUAGUUUUAACAUUUAAAUGUCAAUUUUAUUGUUUUUUAUUGUUUUUUUUAGUAUAUCUAUUUUGUUAACAUAGUACUUGUUUGAUUGUUAUUUGUCAAAGAAACUUGUAGUAUAAAUGUAUAAUUUUGUAAUUGUUAUAGUUUGUUUUAGAUUUUGUCAAACUGUAUUUGUUUGUAAAUUGUUGAAACUUUGUUUGAAUUACACCGAAUUAGAUGUGUUGUGAUGAAAUAAAUAAUAGCUUGUUUAAUGGGUCCGUUUUAAUUUUUAUCAUUUCUAUUGCGGAGUUGUGAUUUCUGUAAAUUUAUAUAUGUAUAAAUUUGUAUGGACGUUGAUAAUUGAUAAUUAAUAAUUAAUAAUGAAUAUUUAACAUAAGUGUUUUUUUAGUUUGUUCGAUAAUGUCGAGACAAACCAAUAUUUUUGCAAAUUUAUUUACGUAACAUAGUUAAUUAAUACAUGUUGUCGUCAUAAUUUUAUAGAGGUUCGAUAGAAGUCAUAGAUGAUCAUUCAUGGAUGUAUCAGGACGCACCCCAAAGAUUGCGGAGGAUGGAUUAUUGUAACGGAGUUUAGGGUUUUAUUAAUUUCACAACAUCUAUUCCGAGGAAUUUUACUAAUGGCGGUAUUAGAUGUCCAUGUAGGAAAUGUAAAAAUAAAAAGUUUCUGCAUCAAGAUGUUGUUUCUAAUGAGGGUUCAUGGAAGAUUACUUGUGUUGGUAUGCACAUGGAGAACUAUUUGUUUCUAAUGAGAGCAUGGUAGAAAGGGUAGUUGGGUUAACUUCUAGUGCUAGCAACGUGCAUGAAGUUGUAAAUGACAACAGUAAUUCUUACAAGAAUAUGGUUAUGGAUGCAAUGAGAAUGAAUGAAGGUAAUGUCAGUGAAUGUCCAAUCAUAGAAGAAUAACCUAAUGCAGAUGCAACAAGUUUUUUUGAUCUGUUGAAAGAUUCUGACGAACCAUUAUGGGAUGGUUGCACGAACCACAACAAAUUAUCGGCCGUAGCACAGGUGUUCACCAUCAAGUCAGAUCACGGGUUGAGUAAGGCCGGUUAUGACAAGAUUAUCGAAAAGGCGAGAAGCAUUUUACCUGAAGGGAAUAGGCUGAAAGAGAACUUCUAUGCUACAAAGUCCAUGAUGAAACCCCUCGGUUUAGGAUACCAGAAAAUUGACAUGUGCCCUAACUUCUGCAUGUUAUACUACCUUGAAAAUGUUGAGCUAAUCGAGUGCAUGACAUGUGAGCAUUCCCGUUACAAACCCAGAAGUGGCAGGGGAACGACUCUCGUGGCAUAUAAAAAACUUAGAUACUUCCCAAUCACACCUAGACUGCAGAGGUUAUUCAUGUCACCAAGGACUGCUGAGCACAUGACAUGGCACCAAUCACAUCAUGCGGUUGAUGGAGUUAUGAGCAUCCUUCUGACGGUGAAGCAUGGAAACACUUUAAUAGUGUGCAUCCUCACUUUUCAGCUGAAUCAAGGAACGUGCGUCUUGGGUUGUGUAUAGACGGAUUCAACCCAUUCGGGUCAUUUGCUGCUCCUUAUUCUUAUUGGCCGAUCAUACUGACCGUUUAUAACUUGCCAUCGAGGAUGUGUAUAAGGCCAGAAUUCAUGUUUUUAUCUAUGGUCAUACCAGGUCCGAGCAGUCCGGAGUGGAAUAUAGAUGUUUGUCUUCGACCGUUGAUUGAUGAGUUGACGUAGUUGUGGUCCUCUGGAGUUUUGACUUAUGAUAUCUCGAGGAAACAAAAUUUUGUUAUGAGAGCGGCUUUGAUGUGGACUAUCAAUGAUUUCCCAGCUUAUGGAAUGGUUUCUGGUUAGAGCACGUAUGGAAAAUUAGGAUGGUCAUACUGUUUGGAAAACAACAAGGCAUUUAACGCUAACAAACGGGGUUAAAGCUUUUGUUUUACUGUCACCGUCGUUUCUUGCCACCGAAUCACAGGUACAGAAAGAACUUCUUUAUUUGUUGAGUUGAAAAGGAUGUUGCACCCCCACGUCUUUCUGGUGAAGAAUUGCAUGAUGUUGUAUCAGAGUACGGUUACAUUGUGUUUGGUCUCCAAUCAGGUAAGUAGAAGUUUCCUGGUUUUGGUUUGACCCAUAAUUGGGUAAAGCGAAGUAUCUUUUGGGAGCUUCCUUAUUGGAAGACCAAUCUUCUCCGCCAUAACCUUGACGUCAUGCACAUUGAAAAGAACAUGUUUGAGAACAUUUUCAACAUUGUCAUGGAUGUGAAGGGGAAGACAAAGGACAACAUCAAGGCUAGAUUGGAAUUAGCGUUGUUCUGUAACCGUAAAAAUAUGGAGUUGGUUUAUGAUGGGUCAUGGGUUGCAAAACCAAGAGCAAGUUUCGUGUUAGAGAAAAACGCACAACUACUAGUCUAUGUUUUCCCGAUGGACAUGCUUCGAACAUAUCAAGGCUGGUUAAUACGGAGGAAUGCAUAUUAUAUGGAAUGAAGAGUCAUGACUGCCAUGUGUAUAUGCAAAUACUCAUCCUAUUAGCUUUUCAUGAUUUGUUGCCAAAGGGGAUAUGGGAUGCACUCACGGAGAUUAGUCAUUUCUUCAGAGAUAUAUGCUCCAGCAAGUUGAAUGUUGAUCACAUUGAAAGGCUUGAAACGAAUAUCGUCGAAACAAUAUGCAAACUUGAGAUGAUAUUCCCUCCAUUAUUUUUCUACUCAAUGGAGCAUAUACCCGUAGAUUUACUGUUUGAGGUAAAAGUUGGAGGACCGGUGCAGUAGAGAUGGAUGUAUCCAUUCGAGAGGUUAGAUAUUACAGUUGCAACAUAAUUCAUAAUUAAAUGUUUUUUUAUUUUUUUAAUUGAUAAUUUUUGUUUAGUUCUAUAUAUGUAGGUACUUGUUCAAUCUUUAAAAAAAGGUUAAGAACAAGGCGCAUGUUGAGGUGUCAAUAUGUGAAGCCUAUAUUGUUGAGGAGAUCUCAACAUUUAUCUCAUACUAUUUCGAAUCUCAUUUGAGAACGAGGAUCAACCAUGUUUCAUGGCAUGAUGAUGGUGGUGAAGUGCCUUCAAGUGGGAACUUGUCAAUAUUCUUCAAUCCUGGACGACCCACACUUAAAAAUGUCAUAAGAGGAAGAUAUUUGUCUGAAAUAGAGUUCAGACAAGCACACAAUUAUGCCCUAUUUAACUAUGAUGAGCUGAGACCUUUUAUUAAGUAAGUAGAUGUUCUACUUAAACUUUGUCAAAAAUAUACUAUUUAUAUAUUAUGAUAUCAUAAACUAAGAUAAUUUAGAACAACCUUGCAAACAACAUCGAUGAUAUUUACUGUCCAAUAACUUACAGCUGAUCGAAUCCCAAAUCUUUCAAUUACAAGAUGAACAAUUUGUCACGUUGUUUAGAACACAUUUAAGUCCUAUCACAAACUCAUUAUCUCUUGUAAGGUAAUUGUACAUCAAUAUUACAGAAUAUUUGUUUAUUGAUUAUUGUUGUAUUUGAUAUACAAGGUUUAUCAAAUGGGAGAUAGUGUUGCUAUUUCACUGUCUUUACUAAGCCUGAGCCCUGAAAGAAAAGUCAAGUGUUAUAACGAGUAUUUUGUCAAUGGAUAUGUCUUUCAUACUCAAGAAUACGAGCAUGGAAGAAAGACAUGCAACAACGCUGUUUGUAUUAAGGGAUCAACUUCUAGUGAGUUUGAAGUUGACUAUUAUGGUAGAUUAGAAGAGGUCAUCGAACUGCAAUAUCAUAGCGAGCAGAAUAGAGUGUUUUUAUUCAAAUGUUAUUGGUAUGACACAACUGACAAAGAAAUCAAAGUACAUCCUCACUAUAGUCUCGUUGAAAUUAACUCAAAAGCUAGACUCUGCAACGUAAACGAUGCCUUUUUUUUUCGCAAAGCAAUGCCAACAAGUUUAUUACACAUACACCCUUUUCUUUAGAAAGGAUCGAUCAAGAGUUGAUUGGUUAUUCGUUUUAAAAACCAAACCCAGGGGUCAUGUCGAGGUUGUUCAGGAUGAGAACAAAGACACAAGUGUGAUAGAUGAAGUAUUUCAAGCUAGUGAGUUGGUUGAACCAUACCGAGUUGCUCCUUCGAUUGACUUAGAAUAAAAUUUGAUUUUUUAUGUUCUUGAUGAUAAUCUUGUUGAUGUUGACGCAGAGGAGUUGAACGUUGUUUUGAGCUCUAGUGGACUAGAGAAUGUUGAUGAAGAAGAUGAUAACCACAUUGAAGAGUGCAAUGAAGCUGAUAACAAUUCAAUUGAGGACGAAGAUGAAAAUUCUGACUAAAUAUGUUGUAAAGCCUUUUUUGUAUAUAAUGUAAUAUUAUGGAUGAUAUUUUGGAACAUGAAAUAUUUAUUUUAUAAUUGAUUGCUCUUGUUAUUGUGUUGUGCGUGUUGUAAGUUUGCAAUUUAAUCGUUUGUUCAGUAGGAUAGACAGACAAUACAAACAAAACAUGCGAAAGCUUGACACGAACACCAACGGAUAGACCGACGGAUUGUGUCCCAUCGGUAUUUUACCUAGAUUUGCAAAAACACUACAGCAUUUUACCACAAUCACCGAUGGCUAUAACGACGAAAUAGGUCCCAUCGAUAUUUUACCAAGAGUUGUAAAACAAUUACAGCCCCUGCCAUAAUCACCGGCGCGUUUCCCGAUGAAAUCACCAAUGGAUGGUGCACAUUCCAUUACGUGCGACUGUCAAACUGCCUGGUCGGUCGCACAGUUACCGAUGGAAUCACCAAUUGACGUGGCAAAUCCAAUGCGCCCAUGCUCUGACAUCUUUUUACCGAUGGAUUUGCUGACAGACUUCAAAAAAUCUGGAGGGAUUUUCAAAAUUUUAGUUCGAAAUUCAAAAAAAUACCGACGGAAUUUAAUGCCACCGCCCAAAAAAAUAUUAUUCUAUGUUUUGUCGGUAAAAUUGCAGUAUAAAACCGACCACCCCCCUCUGCGGUUCAUUUUUUCUCGGCUCCUCUCAUUUCUUCUCUUCUCCUCCUGUAAAUCCUUUGCGUUUCUCAUUGUAUUUUUAUUGUUUUGAUUGUAGUUUUCAACAUAUUAAAAGGUAUGAUUCUCUUUUCUUUAUCUUUGUAUUUUUUUUACUUUUUUUUUAAUUAUGAUUAUUUUUGUGGUGUUCUUUUUUUGUGUAUUGUUUGUAGAUAAAAUCUUGAAAUCAACAUACUAUUAAGGUAAACAUUUUUCAUUCCUAAAGUCUUUAGUUUUUUCUUUUUAUUUGUUCAAUUUAUUUUAUUGUUUGUAUUGCCAUAAUAAUUGAAAAUUUUGUUAAAUUUGAAUUGUUAUUGUUGAAUUUACCUUUAAAAUGUUAAUUGAAAUAUAUAAUUAAAUUUAAUUAGUUUAUCUUAAUUUUAUUAUAUUAUUGCUUGUUAUGUUUUUUAUUAUUUCAAUUAAUUUUAAUUGUUAUUUAUGAAUUUGUAUAGAUGUUAGUUGAAAAUAUGACCGAUGUUGAAUUUCUAUAGAUGUUAGGUUGUAUAGAGUUGAUUUUGCAAUAUUUGUGUAAUUAUCAAUAUUUGUAGGUAUGAAAACUGUGGGUAGUCUCUAAUAUAAGAGAGGUGCUGGUGAAUGUUUUUUAAAUAAUUGAAUUUAAUUAUUUAAUUAUUUGUAUAAAUUUGUGUAGAUGUGUAGAAUGAAAAUUGGCUUGUGGAUAUUAUCAAUAUUUGUAGGUAUGAAAACUGUGGGUAGUCUCUAAUAUAUGGGAGGUGCUGAUGAAUUGUUUUUAAAUAAUUGAAUUUAAUUAUUCAUAUAAAUUUGUGUAGAUGUGUAGAAUGAAAAUUUAAUUAUUUUAUUCUUUGUAUUUUAAUAAUUAUUUGAAAAUUUAGUUUCUUUUAAUUGUUAUUGUUGAAUUUUCCAUGGAAAUGUUAAUUAAAAAUGAAGAAUUAAAUUUCAUUGUUUUAUCUCAAUUUUAUUCUAUUAUUGAUUGUUAUGUUUUUUAUUAUUUUCAUUAAUUUUAAUUGUCAUUUAUGCACUUCUAUAGAUGUUAGUUAAAAAUAUAUAGAUGUUAAAUUUCUAGAGAUGUUAGGUUGUUUAUAAGAUUUUUCAAUGGAGUUAAUUGGUUUGUGGUUAUUGUAAAGAUUUACAGGUUUGAAAACUGUGAGUAGUCUCCAAUAUAGGGGAGGUGCUGCCAAUUUGUUUUUUAAAUAAUCGAAGUUACUUAUGUAAUUAUUCGUAUAAAUUUGUGUAGAUGCGUAGAAUGAAAUUAACAGCAUGUCGUCAGCAGACGGUUGCAUCUAGUUCUUCUAGCAGCGAGGAUGACUUAUCCUUAGGUGCUGAUCACGAAGAGGCAUCUGCGCCAACUUGUGAUGCUGCCUCUUCUAGCGCGGUUUCACAGCGCAGAGGUGGUGUGCCUUCACAGCGGGGUCAAUUCACCCGCAUGUACCAAGCACAAUGAAAGGUUGACAUUUCAAUGUCAGUUUGUUUAGGUUUUAGUUUUUUUUUAUACUUAUAACAUAAUUUAUGAACAACUAAUUAAUAUUUUAUUAAUUUUAUUUAAUUUCAGGUUCACAAACAUUGAGGCUACCCAGACAAUAAUAUCGGCGUUUAAAUCAUCGAUGGAGAUUUCAUUGUUUCAAUGGAGUCAGGUUUCCAGACAUCCUGAGUGGAGACCUAAUAUCGAUGCAUGGUUUUGACGAUUUUAGGUAGGUGUUAACUUUUAAUUUCCAGCUUAUUUUUAAUAAAUUAUUUUUAUAAUUUUAUAUCUUGUACUAUUUUUAUUUUAAAUGAAUUAUUUAUACACAACAUAAAUUUGAGUGGGAUAGCGUGGACAAUGAUGUUGUGAGGAGGGUAUGAGAGAAUCACGCGGCAACUAGGUAACAUCGAAAAUAAUAUAAUUUUUUGUUUUAUAAUUUUAUGUUCUAAAUUCUAAUUUGUUACUAUGGAAGUAGGUUACAGAGAGUUCUGAAAUAUUUACUGCCUAUGCCACAAUCACCGACGGCUAGUCCGUCAGUGAUUACCGUUGAAAAUACAGACGGAAUAAGUCCGUCGGUAAAGUUCUCGCGGAAAAAAAAAUUUUGGCGCGCUUCCCCGUCUGAAAGACCGUCAGUGUUUGGUUUUCUUAUUUCCAACGGAAUUAGCGAUGAAACGGGGAAGCGCGCCAAAAUUAUCUGAUUUUACGAGUUAACUUGUAUAUACAGUAUACAAUUGGGUUAGAAACUUAAAACCCAACAAACUCAGUCAAACUCGGGUAACUCAAACCGAGUUUACGAGUCUGACAAACUCUUCAACUCUAUGUGUAUUUGUUAACUGACAAACUCUAGGAUCUCCAACUCUCUGUUGAUCUCUGUGUUCAUCUCAAACAGAAGAAAAACACCUAGGCUUGGAGGUCCAGCGAAGAUUACUGGAAGCAACACAGUUCCAGCUACAAGAGAUGACGACGCAUCGUGCCACGCUGCGUGCAUCGAGGUUGUUCAAAACCCUCAACAUCAAGUCCCUACCAAACAGAUCUAAUGGGUCUUGAGUUAUUACUUACAGGGAGAGUGAGAAGAUACAGCAAAGGGUGGUGAGUGGAGUCGGGGGAGAGAAGAUGAGAGAGUGCAUCAAGGGCAGUUGAUUUCGGUGAUGAUGCUACAAAUUUCUUGAUCAAACGGUUAGUAGCUGAAGUAUCUCUUGUGGCAACGGUGGGCAUUGGGCAAUACUGCAGAGAAAAAACGCUGGGCUUGUUUGCUAAUUGCUGCUAAAUAUUUAAAGUUGUUCCACUUGGUUGAUAAAUUCAGAGGUGGUGAUGUUGGCUGUGAAAGAUAAGAUAGUGGACCAAUGGUUGUUGACUGUGGCUGAGGUGGUGAUGUUGGCUGUGAAUUGUGAAAGAAAAAGUUUUAUCAUUUAUGUUUUCUUUGUUGUCGUGUUGUGAGAUUGGGAUUCAUUUCUGCCCAUUGCUUUAUGAAUAAAAAACAUCAAUUAAGAAGGAAAGACAUGAGAAAAACAAUGUGGAUUGACUUUGUGAGUAAAGUUAUAGAAACUAAUCCUUAAUUAUUUUUUAAGUUUUAAUUAAUUUUUUUAAUUGUUUUAAUGUAUUAAUAUUAAAAAUAAAUUUUAAAAAAUAAAAAAAUAUAUUAUUUUAAUACAUUUCAAAGUUAAAAACAUUUUAAAAAACAAGUUUAUCGUAUUAUUAAACAAUCGCUAAACCCCACACUAAGUUAUUAUUUACUACUUGACUGAAAUUAUUAAUAUAUAAUUAAUUAAAAUAUUUUUCUUUUGACUUUAUGAUUUUACGAUUUGAGUUUACGAUCCGAGUUUAUAUUGUAUGUUCUGUGUCGUGUCAAAAAAGCAUUUUUGACAACCUUGCCUUGGACUCCAUGAUUCAGCUGAUUUUCUUUCCUUUGAACAUCAAUUCUUCUUCAAUAUCUUUGAAAAACUUAGCAAACUGUUGGAAAAAAAGAAUAAGGUGUAAUAGCUAGUUUAUAAAAACAAAGCUAAAAAACAAGAAAAAGAAUGAGAGAAAUGAUAUUUUAUUUAAAGUUUUCUCAAAAGAUUACAUUUAUAGCUCUUCUCUAUGUUUGUGUAUAAUGCUUAAGAUUACAAAUCUAUUUAUAGGUUUCAAAUCCUAGUGAUUAGUACUUAAAAGUGCAUUUUUAUCAAGGUUUUAUAUCAUCAUUUUGCACUUGAAGUAUCAAUAACUCCUUAACUAAACCAUGUUUUAUAAUAACAUAUAUAAUAAUAUAAGAUACCUUUAAUUUAUGGUAAAUGUUCAUCUUAAAUGCAGGCCUAUCACAUAAAUGAAAGAAUUGAUUGAUGAGUUGAAGUACUGAAAUUGAAAGGACAAAGAGAUGGCAAACUUAGAAAAGAGAUGAUUGAUGCAGUCCAAACUAGAACACUGUUCAGUAAUCGGGUCAUAUCUGGAGCUCUAGAUCUUGGAUUUAGGUCUUCUUUAUAUGGAUGGAAAGCUAAGACAUAGGCCUACAACUUUCAUGUGGAGUCCAAGAGACAAGGCCGUUUUCAAGUCCAAAAUGUAGCAACAACGAAGAAGUCUGAAUCUGUCCUGCAGCCCAGACACUAUUCAGUGUUCAGCCCAUAUCUCGAGUUCUAGAAGUCCAAAUGAUCUCAAAUGUUUACCCUGGAAACAUGAGACAAUUUCCUAGAACUUUCAUGAUUUAAGUAUGUUCAAAUUAUGACGUUAUCAAUGAUGUUUUUGGCAGACAAGAAGAUAAGAAUUGUCACCAAGUCAAGAUGUGGCCAUCCAUUCAUCAAUUAGUCAACAAAUCAAUAGUUUCGAAUUUUGGCCUAUAAAAGGAGGCAUUUACCAUGUAUUUAGGCAUCUUGGUGUUCAGAUCAAGAUCAUGCUCUUGCUCUCUCUUUAUAUUUUGUAAUGCUUAAGUUUUGCUUAUAUUAAUUUCUUGCUUAUGCUUUUCAUUUCCUUUCCUUGUUUAUUUAUGUUUCUUUCUUUUAUUAUGUGUAGCUAAGUUAAUUAUGUCAAGGUGAAAAGGGUACACUAAUGGUGUAAGAAUAAGUAUAAUAUAAACUUAACAUGGACCUUAAUGUUGGAUACUAACAUGCUUUAUAUUUGUUAUCUUGUUCACUUUUAAUACUUUGCUUGUUAAAUGGUUAAUCUAAAUUUAUGUUGUAUAACACUUGGUACAACAAGUACUUGGCACUUUCAUAGCCCAUACUGUAUGGUAUAACCGACACCUGAGCUAUGAAAGGAACUUGAUUUGUUGUUAAGAUAAGUUAUAAUCAUGAAUGCCUGACAACAUUUACAAGUAUUAGCAUUAUUCGAAUAAGAUAACUAAUGUAAUCAUGUUAACAAUUUAUAAUCUGAUUGGAACCUCCUUUGUGUGUGGUUUCCAAUUGAAUAAUAAGAGUUUAUACUAUACUUGUUUGAAAUAUCAUUAGUGGAUCCUCUAACCUUGACAUUUGUUGUUAUCAUUGUUUAAUCCUUACGUUAAUCUUCCAUCUCAAAGUUCUCAUCAACUUCUUCUUCUUCUUCAUCUUUAUUAUUAUCAUUAUUAAUAGUAUUAUUGGUAUCAUUAUUAUUAUUACUACUAUUACUAUCACUAUUAUUAUUAUUAUUAUUAUUAUUGUUAUUGUUAUUAUUGUUACUAUUGUUGUUGUAUUAUUGUUGUUUAUAAUUUAUACAAUUAACCUCCAUGUGGUUCGACCCCGGUCUUGUCGGGUUAUUUAUUACUUCGACACUCCUGCACUUGGGAGAAGACAUCAAUCUUUUGGUCGUGUCAAGUUUUUGGCGCCGUUGCUGGGGAGGUAAAUUCUUGUAGAAAUUAUAGUGUUUAUUUUAUUUUCUCUUUUCACUUUUCAUUGUAUUUAACUUCGUUUAUUUUGUUUUGUUUAUUUUUCUUUUGCUUUCUUCUUCUUUUUAUUCUCUUUUUACACGUGCAUGAGAGUUUGGUCACGUACAUUAAGUGGUAGACUUUGUAGGGUAUCGUCAUCAUUUUCAGAAAAUAUGGUCGAAGAAGAUAACCAAUCGCUUCAUAAUGAGAAUAUUCGGGUUAGAACACUUAGAGACCACAUGAAUCCCACAAGAACAAGUGCACCCUCAUGCAUAGUUUUUCCUCCUGAUGCAUCUCAUUUUAAUUUUAAGCCAGGCAUUAUUCAACUUUUACCUUCUUUUCAUGGUUUAGAUUUAGAAAAUCCAUACUUGCAUUUAAGGGAAUUUGAGGAGGUCUGCAACACCUAUAAUGACUCAAAUUGUAGCAUGAACACCAUUAGGUUAAAGCUUUUUCCUUUUUCAUUAAAAGAUAAAGCUAAAACAUGGCUACAAAAUUUGAGACCAGGAUCUAUUCGUGCUUGGGAUGAAAUGCAACAACAAUUUUUAAAGAAGUUUUUUCUGUCCCAUAGAACAAACUCUUUCAAAAGACAGAUCAUCACUUUCACUCAAAAACCAGGAGAAACAUUUUACCAAUGUUGGGAUAGGUAUCGAGACUUGCUUAAUACUUUCCCUCAUCAUGGUUUUGAAACAUGGAGAUUGGUUUCACAUUUUUAUGAAGGGUUAACUCCUAGAGAUAGGCAAAUGGUUGAAUUGAUGUGCAAUGAAACUUUUGAGGAUAAAGACCAUAAUGAAGCCAUGAAAUACCUAGACUUGAUAGCUGAAAAUGCACAAAAUUAGGACACUACAGGAACUUAUGAGGCACCAAGUAAAACCCAACCUCAUACAUCUAGUGGAGGUAUGUACAACCUUAGGGAAGAUCAUGACCUCCAAGCCAAGUUUGCAUCUUUAGCUAGAAAAGUCGAGGCACUAGAAUUAAAAAAGAGUGGUCAGCUAAAAUCUGUUCAAGACAUUGAGUGUCAAAUCUGUGAAACCAAUGAACAUUCAACCAAUGACUAUCCAACUUUGCCUUCUUUUAAGGAAUGUCUCCAUGAACAAACCCAUGCUUUAAACAGUUUCCAAAGGCCCAAUCAUAACCCAUACUCACAAACAUCCAACCCUGGUUGGAGAAAUCACUCAAAUUUCAAUUGGAAGAGUGUUAAUAAUAAUGCACAAACUUCACAGCCACCGUUUCAAGCACACCAUAAUUUCCAAAAUUCUCAUGGAUAUGCACCUCCUUAUGCUCCACCUCCUAAAAUAAAUCUUGAGGAAACAUUGCAUGCAUUCAUGGAAAAGCAAGAGACAAUCAACACUCAACUUGCUCAAAGCUUGACAGAUUUUAAAGAUACUCUUGCAAAAUUGACAUCUGCUCUUAGUUUUCAAGAGAAAGGUAAGUUUCCAUCUCAACCACAGCAAAAUCCAAAAGGGCAAUACAAUGUGAAUGCAAGUAGUUCUGGAAGCCAACACAUGGAUCAAGCCAAAUCAGUCAUCACUCUUCGCAAUGGUAAGGUUAUUGAAAACCCCAUUCUUGAACCUUGUUAGAAAGAUGAUGAGUCAAUCUCUGAGGGUAAGGAAGAGGUUGAAUCUGAACAUUGUAAAGAACAGACUGAUUCUUCGCCAGCACUUCCAUUUCCUCAUGCCAUGACCAAACAAAGGAAAGUCAAUCACAACUCUGAAAUCUUUGAAACUUUCAAACAGGUAAGGAUCAAUAUACCUUUAUUGGAUGCUAUUAAACAAGUUCCUUCUUAUGCUAAAUUUUUGAAAGAUCUGUGCACUGUGAAGAGAAAACUGAAUGUGAAAAAGAAAGCCUUUUUAGCCGAACAAGUAGGUGCUAUUCUUCAGAACAAUAAUGCUUUGAAAUAUAAAGACCCUGGUUGUCCUACAAUUUCUUGCUUUAUUGGAGAACAUAUAAUUGAAAGAGCUUUACUUGAUCUUGGAGCUAGUGUGAAUUUACUUCCAUAUUCAGUUUUUCAAAGUCUCAAUCUAGGUGAGUUAAAACCAACUUCUGUAACUCUUUUACUUGCCGACAGAUCUGUAAAAGUGCCUAGAGGAAUAGUUGAGGAUGUGUUAGUACAAGUCGUUAAAUUCAUUUAUCCUGUGGAUUUUAUUGUCUUGGACACACAACCUGUUGAAGCAUGUAAUUCAUUUCCUGUUAUUUUAGGACGUCCGUUUCUUGUAACUUCUAAUGCAUUGAUUAAUUGUAGGAAUGGACUAAUGAAGCUAUCAUUUGGGAACAUGACAUUGGAGAUGAAUAUUUUCAACAUUUGCAAGCAACCUGGAGAUGAUAAUGAUUUACAAGAAGUAGAUUCUAUUGAAGAAUUAGUUUAUGAUCAACUUCAAUCUACUUUGAGUAAAAUUAAGUUGGAUGAAUCUGAAGAUUUGCAAAUGAUUUAUUCUCAGGAAGAAAUCACGGAUGAAAAAGACACCGAAAAUGUUGAUACGGAUCUUUUGUCAAGAGUGACAACAGAUUCGACAUCCGACAUCACACCAAUCGACGAUUACUUUCCUGAUGAAUCCUUACUUUCUCUUAGUUCAAUGCCUUGGUUUGCUAAAAAUAUCAAUUUUCUUGCUACAGGAGAUUUGCCAACUCACUAGAGUACCGAAGACAAAGGUAAGUUUUUGAAUGAAGUGAAGAAAUUUUAUUGGGAUGACCCUUACUUAUUCGAAUAUUGUCCUGAUCAAAUAUUUCGAAGAUGCAUUCCUGACAAUGAGGUAAGUAAUGUCAUUAAACUUUGUCAUUCUGAAGCAUGUGGGAGUCAUUUCUCGUCAAAAAAGACUGCUGUGAAAAUCUUACAAAAUGGAUUUUAUUGGCCCACCAUGUUCAAGGACACACAUGCAUUCUGCAAAACUUGUGAAAAUUGUCAAAAAAUUGAUACUGGUCAAAAAGUUUUGCUUUAUAAUUCUCGACUCCAUUUAUUUCCUGAAAAACUAAGAUCAAGAUGGAGCGGUCCAUUUAUUGUGAAACAUGUGUAUCCUUAUGGGGCCCUUGAUAUUGAGAAUCCAAAGAAUGACAAUGUUUUGAAGGAAAAUGGACAUCGUUUGAAAGCUUACUUUGAUAAGUUUCCUAGUGAAAAUGAAUCCAUUGGUUUGAAUGAUCAUGUAGAUAAAGGUUGAUUAUUUUGUUUUUCUCACAUUGUUCUUGUGUUCCUUUUUGGUGUGAUUCUUGUUUUGCUAGUCUUUCUCACCCCGGUUAAAUGGCGGAUAACGGUACUCCGUGACUUUAGUCAGUUCUUUCAGUUUCCUAUAAUAACUGAUAUAUGUAUAUAUUUGUGCAAUUAUUUGCUCUUUCUCUCUUCUUUGAAUCUCUUCUCCAAUUCUCAUUUGAAAAUGGACACCACUCUUGAAAAAUUGAAAAAGUACUUUCCCGCUCUGCCUCAGAAUGCGAUUACAAAAAUUUGUCGUGCUAGGUGUGCAAGAUUGAGGUUGUUAAUGAAUCAUGGAAUUCCUGAAGAUAUCCGUUGGUUGAUUAAAGCAAAGGUCCGAUUAUUAGGUGAGUCCUCCAAUUCUUUCAUCUCAUACAUGCCUGGAACAGGUAAAAGCACUUUUGCAAAGAAACAUCGUGCAAAACGACUGAAAGUCUGUCACAGAUGUGCCAGAUGGAUUUGUAAUGCAACAUGUCGUUCUUUAGGAAUGGUAUCUAUAAAUCGUGAAGAUAAAAUACAAUUCAUUAAGGAUGGCCUGAGUAAGGGGUCUUUAGAUAAUCUUCUAUUAACCCUUGAGACGUAUCCUAGUGGAGAUGUGCAUCGUGUUAUUCAUGAUUUAUGGCCACAAUUCCAUAAGGAACAUGAUCGACUUAGUCUUGAGAAUCUGACUAUAAAAGACCAUGUUUGCCAGUUUUUAAGAAAACUGGAUGGGAAGCCUAUCCCCGACCCAUAGAGGGCGUUUAAGCCGUUCUUGGACGUAAAACCAAGGGAAGAUGUGAGCCACAAUCACAACUACCUGUACAUACACAUGCUUUUUCAAAAUAAAUAAAUAAAUAAAGAGAGAGAGAGAGACAGAGAGAGAGUGAGACUCCAGCUGGCCUACAUAUAGGUGGUAUGAUUGCAUCUUCAAUUUCUCAUCUAUAAAAUCUUCUCUUCCUUCCCCUCAUUUCUACUCAACCCAUACAUUUAACAAAUAUAAAAGUGUGUAGAAAUGGCAGGUUCCUCAAGUCAUCACAUCAGAAAUAUUUGUGUUUUCGGUGGAUCCAGUCCUGGGAAAGAAAAAGAGUUUUUAGAAUCAGCAAAUCAUCUUGGUCAGGUAUUAGCUGAGAGAAAGAUUCAUUUAGUAUAUGGAGGAGGCAGCCUUGGGUUAAUGGGGGGUGUCAAUAGCUGCAUUUUUAGGAGGAAGUCAAGUUUUGGGGGUCGUCCCCAAGGCUUUAGCAAAAGGGGAUAUCAUUGGAAAAACAAUUGGAGAGGAACUACAGGUCUCGACAAUGUUUGAUCGAAUGAAUGCAAUGUUUAACCAUGCUGACGCCUUCAUUGCCUUACCAGGUGGUCUAGGCACAUUGAAAAAGAUCUUUCAUAUUUCCUCUUGGGCCCAACUUCACAUUCACCAUAAACCUAUAGGUCUAUUAAAUGUUAAUGGUUUUUAUGAUAAUUUGUUGUCUUUUCUUGAUCAAGCUGUGGAACAGGAAUUUCUAACAUCUUCGGCACGACAAAUCAUAAUCUCUGCUGCUACUGCUGAACAAUUGAUCAACCAACUACAAUCUUUCACCCCUGUAAUUGAUCCUUCCAUGAGUCGCAUAAAUUGAUCAACUAAGGAAAGCCGUAAAAAGCUUAGAUUGGAUUUGAGCCUUCGUUUGUGAAUCCUCGUGUCUUUUGGUUUUAUUAUUAGCAUAUUAUUUUGUUUUGUUAUUUUUUAUAUUUGUUUAAGUGUGUUUCAGGUUUGUCAGUGUUCGUUGUUUCAGGUGAUGUCUUCUAUACUCUAUCUUUCUAUCUUAUGACAUUGAGGACAAUGUCUCGUUCUGGUUGGGGGGAGAGGGUAGUAGUUGACAUUAAAAAAAAAAAACUAACUUACUAACUGUUUUUGCUAUUAUUAAAACCAUUUGACAAAACUGUUAUUAGGAUGGCAGAGUAAGGAGGAAUUUUAUUGACUCUUGAGACGCAUCUUAGUAAAUAGUCUUAUCAAGGCCUAUCAUAAUACUUCUUGAAAUAUUCAGGUUUACAAACUCUCACAUUGUUAUCACUUGAUUCUGCUCAUAUACUCAUUUAACAAAUAUUCUUAAACCUUCAUUUUCACACACACACUUUAACAUAUGAUUGUGGGUUGCACAUUGGAUUAUUACAUUAUUUAUGUUCUUUUGUUAAAGGUAACAACUAAGGGAAAGGGAUAGUAUAUAAUUUUCAAAAAAAAAAACAAAUCGAUAAUAUUGAUGAUAAUAAAAACGUAGAUAAGUUUGGUUUCGUAGCCUCCCCAACCUAAGCAAUUAAGCUCGAAGGGGUGUUUUAACACCUAAUACCCUAAAGUCAACUGACUUGGGAGCUAUUGGCCCAAAACUUGUUACAUGGGUUAAGGAUAAAAGCUUAAGGGAAUCAAAUAUUGCACUAUCUACGUAUCAGUAUCUACAACCCGAGUCACUAAGCUCGUAGGGGUGUCUCAACACCUAAUGCCCUAAGACCAACUGGUCUGGGAGUCAUUAGCCGAAAGCUCGUUACAUGGGUUAAAGAUGCAUUGUGUUUUAAGUUAUAUAUAUUUCAAAAAAAAAGAAAAAAAAAGAAAAGAAAUAAUAGUAAUAAUAAUCUCAACCCAAGGAAGUUAACCUUAAACAUUAAAACAAAAUAUUGUUUUCUUCCAAUAAAAGCCCCAUCAUCUAUGUUUUUAUACAUUGAGCACAUAACAAGGAAGGUUUAUUAAUAUUUUGUUUAAGAGCUAUUGAGCAGAUAUAUAAAAUUUUUUAGAGUUUGUUUAUCUAGAUAGAGUAAUGGAAGUUGAAUGAUGAAUGCCUUGCUUUGUGGAAUUUGCAAAUUGUUUUUCUAUUUUAACGCUUUGAUUACUAGGGACUAGUAAUAAGCUGGUUGGGGGGUAUGAUUAGUACUUAAAAGUGCAUCAUCAUUUUGCACUUGAAGUAUCAAUAACUCCUUAACUAAACCAUGUUUUAUAAUAACAUAUCUAAUAAUAUAAGAUACCUUUAAUUUAUGGUAAAUGUUCAUCUUAAAUGUAGGCCUAUCACAUAAAUGAAAGAAUUGAUUGAUGAGUUGAAGUACUAAAAUUGAAAGGACAAAGAGAUGGCCAAACUUAGAAAAGAGAUGAUUGGUGCAGUCCAAACUGGAACACUGUUCGGUAAUCGGGUCAUAUCUGGAGCUGUAGAUCUCGGAUUUAGGUCUGCUUUAUAUGGAUGAAAAGCUAAGAUAUAGGCCUAAAACUUUCAUGGAGUCCAAGAUUUAACAAGGCCGUUUUCAAGUCCAAAAUGUAGCAACAACGGAGAAGUCUGAAUCUGUCCUGCAGCCCAGACAUUAUUCAGUGUUCAGCCCAUAUCUCGAGUUCUAGAAGUCCAAAUGAUCUCAAAUGUUUACCCUGGAAAGAUGAGACAAUUUCCUAGAACUUUCAUGAUUUAAGUAUGUUCAAAUUAUGACGUUAUCAAUGACGUUUUUGGCAGACAAGAAGAUAAGAAUUGUCACCAAGUGAAGAUGUGGCCAUCCAUUCAUCAAUUAGUCAACAAAUCAAUAGUUUCGAAUUUUGGCCUAUAAAAGGAGGCAUUUACCAUGUAUUUAGGCAUCUUGGUGUUCAGAUCAAGAUCAUGCUUUUGCUCUCUCUUUAUAUUUUGUAAUGCUUAAGUUUUGCUUAUAUUAAUUUCUUGCUUAUGCUUUUCAUUUCCUUUCCUUGUUUAUUUAUGUUUCUUUCUUUCAUUAUGUGUAGCUAAGUUAAUUAUGUCAAGGUGAAAAGGGUACACUAAUGGUGUAAGAAUAAGUAUAAUAUAAACUUAACAUGGACCUUAAUGUUGGAUACUAACAUGCUUUAUAUUUGUUAUCUUGUUCACUUUUAAUACUUUGCUUGUUAAAUGGUUAAUCUAGAUUUAUGUUGUAUAACACUUGGUACAAUAAGUACUUGGCACUUUCAUAGCCCAUACUGUAUGGUAUAACCGACACCUGAGCUAUGAAAGGAACUUGAUUUGUUGUUAACAUAAGUUAUAAUCAUGAAUGCCUGACAACAUUUACAAGUAUUAGCAUUAUUCGAAUAAGAUAACUAAUGUAAUCAUGUUAACAAUUUAUAAUCUGAUUGGAACCUCCUUUGUGUGUGGUUUCCAAUUGAAUAAUAAGAGUUUAUACUAUACUUGUUUGAAAUACCAUUAGUGGAUCCUCUAACCUUGACAUUUGUUGUUAUCAUUGUUUAAUCCUUACGUUAAUCUUUCAUCUCAAAGUUCUCAUCAACUUCUUCUUCUUCUUCAUCUUUAUUAUUAUCAUUAUUAAUAGUAUUAUUGGUAUCAUUAUUAUUAUUGCUACUAUUACUAUCACUACUAUUAUUAUUAUUAUUAUUAUUGUGAUUGUUAUUGUUAUUGUUAUUAUUUUUACUAUUGUUGUUGUAUUAUUGUUGUUUAUAAUUUAUACAAUUAACCUCCAUGUGGUUCGACCCCGGUCUUGUCGGGUUAUUUAUUACUUCGACACUCCUGCACUUGGGAGAAGACAUCAAUCUUUUGGUCGUGUCACCUAGCUAAUCAAGAAAUUAAAAUAUUCAGAGGAAAUCCUAUUCUAAUAAGGAAUCUAACAUUCUAAUUAAAAAAGGAUUUUAAUAAACUAGUUUAUUACAAAUCCUUCUACAUCAAGGAUUUCUAUAUUAACUAGAAUUCCUCCUUUAACUAAUAUUAAAAUUCUUAUAAACUCUAAAUCCUAUUAGCCUAAAUCCUAGUUGAUAUUGAAUUUCAACACUCCCUUUCAAUAUCAAUUGUCGCCAUUCUUCUCCCAGCAUAUCUCUCAUCUUUGCAAAAACAUCAUAUUUGAGUGGCUUUGUGAAAAUAUUUGUGACUUGGUCUUGGGUCUUCAAAUACUUAACUUCAACUUUCUUGUUUGCAAUGCAAUCUCUUAGAUAAUAAAAUCUUGUGUCAAUAUGCUUGCUUCUGUCAUGAAAAACUGGAUUUUUAGCUAAUGCAAUGGCUUAUGAGUUGUCCACAUAAAUAUUUGUAGGCUUUCUUGUGGCAUUCACAACUCCUUUAAUAAUCUUCUUAGCCAUAUGGAAUGACAAACACAUGUUGUAGUAGCUACAUAUUCAGCUUCACAAGUAGAUAAUGUGAUAAUAGAUUGCUUCUUUGAACUUCAUGUGAAAGUUGUGUCUCCCAUGUAGAAAACAAAACCUGUAAUGCUCUUUCUAUCAUCCAUAUCUCCAGCCCAAUUACUAUCACUAUAACCCACAAGAUCAAAACUAUUAGAAUAACAGUAAAAUAAGCCAAAAUCUAUGAUACCUUUGAUGUAUCUUAGAAUUCACUUCAAGGCUUUGAAGUGAGUCAUAGUUGGUAUCUCCAUAAACUUACUCACAAGUCCUACUCCAUAAAGAAUAUUCGGACGAGUGCAUGUCAAAUAUCUCGAACUCCCAACUAAGCUCUUAAAUAUUGUAGAGUUUAUCUUCUCCCCUUCAUCAUUCUUUGACAUCUUCACUCCACACUCGACUAGAGUAUUCUCUUUUGCACAAUCCGCUAUUUUGAAUUUCUUGAGAAUCUUCCUUACAAAUUUCUCUUGAUUAAAAAAGAUUCAAUAUUAUCUUGUUUGAUCCCAAUCCUAAGUAGUAGGACAUGAUACCAAUAUCCGUUUUCUCAAGCUCCUUGAUCAUUGCUUGCUUGAAGUCUUUAAACAUCUUUGGAUUAUUUCUUAUGAAGAUUAAGUCAUCUACAUACAAACAUACAAUAAGUGUAUCACCACUCUCUUUGAUCUUUACAUAGAUAACAUAUUCAUGGGGCCACUUAACAAAUCCAUUCUUUAGGAAAUAGCCAUCAAUGUGACUAUACCAAGCCCUUGGGGCUUGCUUCCAUCCAUACAAGCCCUUAUUUAACUUUAAAAGCUUGUCUUCGUGUCCCUUUACUUCAUAACAUAUAGGUUGCUCAAUGUAGAUCUCUUCUUCAAUAAAAACAUUAAGAAAGGCUGAUAUUACAUCCAUUUGAUAUAUUCUCUAUCUAUGUUAGGCAGCAGUGCCAAUGAUUAAUCGAAUGGUCUCCAAUCUAGCAAAAGGAGCAAAAACCUCUUCAUAGUCAAUCCCAUGCUUUUGACUAUAGCCUUUUUCCACGAACCAUGUCUUAUAUCUCUCAACAUCUUCUUUGACAUUCUUCUUUUCUUUGUAGAUCCAUUUGGCACCUAUUGGCUUCUUUUCAUUUGGUCUAGGAACCAAUCUCUAUGUGUAAUUCUUUUAAUUUGAUGCAAUCUCCUCAUCCAUAGCAAUUCUCCAUUUUAUAUCUUUUAUUGCUUCUUCAAACACUACAGUAUCACUUGUAGUAAGAUGACAAUAUAGUGUUACAUGAUCAAUAUGAUUAGUUACCUCAUAUAAGUCAUCAAGGCUCCUCAUAUUUCUUGGUGGAGUGCCACUACUUGAGCUUUUAUUAGAAGAAGAAGAAGUUAAACACAUUGGUGUUUAUGGAGGUGUGACUAUAGGUUCUUGAUGAUUUUCAUAUCUUUCUUCCUCUUCAUCAAGAAUCGGUAAGAAGUCAUAUUUCUCACCAUCAUUUACCUUCCAAUCUCAUGCUACUUCUUCAUUGAACUCAACAUCUUUACUAAUCACCAUCUUUCCUUCAUUAGGGUUGUAAAGCUUGUAUCCUUUGGACUUUUGGUUAUAGCCCACAAAUAUCAUCUUUUUGCUUUUGCCAUCUAGCUUGGUCCUUACUUGAUCAUCUUCAUGCACAUAACCAAUGCUUCCAAAAACUUUCAAGUGAGAGACAUUUAGUUUUCUUCUACUCCAUGCUUCUUUUGGAGUCAUGUCAUUUAAGUUUAUAGUAGGACAUCUAUUUGACAAGUAGAUAGCAUAAUCUACAGCUUCAGCCCAAAACUCUUUAGGCAUUUUCUUCGUUUUGAGCAUGAUUCUCGCCAUGUUGAGAAUGCUUCUAUUCUUUCUCUCCGCCAUGCCAUUUUAUUGUGGGGAUCUAGGCACCAUUAGGAAUCUCUUUAUACCAUUAUAUUCACAAAACUCAUUAAAAUUAUUAGAAUAAAAUUCACCCCCUAUUCGUCCUAAGUGAUUUUAUAGAAUAACCAUUCUUCUUUUCAACUAAUACCUUAAAUUUAUUAAAAUAAAUAAACAUAUUAGACUUUUCUUUUAAGAAAUAUACCCAAGUGUUUCUACAAUAAUCAUUAAUAAAAAAUAGAAAAUAUAAAUUUUUACCAAACAAGCAUGAUUUGAUAGGACCACAAACAUCGACAUGUAUUUCUUGUAGGGGUUGAUUUGCUCUUGAUAUAAACUAUUUUAGAAAACUCAUUGUUAAGAUCACAAUUUCUUGUAAUGAAAUUGCUUACCCACUAAACAUCCUUCACACAACUGAUUUGGAUGUAUAAUAUAUGGUAGACCCUUCAACAUCUCCUUUUGUGCCAUCAUCUUCAAGCUAUCAAAGUUUACAUGCCCAAGUUUCAUAUGCCACACAUGCAUUUAGGUAUUUAGGCACAUCCGUCUCUAUGUUUAACAAGAGCAUUCUAUUCUUUGUCAUGGAUACCUUUACAAUCAUAUCUCCUUUAGGGGGCAUUUGUUUGAUGGAAAACGGUUUCCUGGAAACCACUUUCUAAACUUUCCUGUAUUUGUUUGUUAUUAGAAAAGUUGGUCAAUGGAAAACACUUUCUACUCAAAGGAAAAUUUGGCUUGAUUGCCAGGAAAGUGUUUUCCUUUUAUUUUGGGCGGAAAACACUUUUCGGAAGUUAUGAAAAUUUCAGAAAUGUCAUAUUAUUUGCUGAUUAUAUAUAUUUUGUUUUGAUUUUUUUUUUCAAUUUCAUCUAUUAGAAUUUAAUUUUUAUAUUAACUUUGGUCCUCAUUUUUAUAAUUGUUAUUUGCUUUUCCCUUAUCAUUUUUUAAUUAAAAUUUUUUAUCUAUCAAAUUUGAUCCUCAUUCUUUUUAUUGUUACUUUUUUAUUUGAAAUAAUUUAUGAAAUGGUAAUUGUUAUUAUUUUAAUUUCUUCAUCUUUCAAUUUUUUUAUUUGUUAGAUUUGAUCUCUAUUAUUUUGAUUAUUAUUUAUUUUAUUUGAGAUAAUUUAUGAAAUUAUAUUUUUUUUCAAUUUCAUUCACUUUCAACUUUUUAAUUUGUAAGAUUUAUUCCUCAUUAUUUUAAUAAACUUGAAAAAAAAAUAUAAUAAGUUAUUUUCCAGCUCAUUUUCCAUGACAUAACCAAACACUGGAAAGUGUUUUCCAACUUAUUUUUCAUUACAUUACCAAACAUCGGAAAAUAAUUCACUUUCCUGGAAUUCACUUUCCAAAAGAAAACUACUUUCCAGCAAACAAACGGGGCCUUAGUGUCAAGUAAUGUCAAAGUACGAUCUUUCAUCUUAAUCUUAUACCCCUUCUCUAACAAUUAUCCUAAGCUCAAUAUGUUGCUUUUCACCAUUGGUAUAUAAUAGACAUCACCAAUAAAUUGAUGACUUCCAUCUUUCAAUUUAAUCAAAAUUAUACAUUUUCCUUUGAUGGCAACCUUAGAAUGAUCUGCAAAGGUGACAUUAUCUUUAAUUGCUUCAUCAAGCUUCAUGAAUUUAUCUUUGUCUCCACACAUGUGAUUACUGGCUCCAUUGUCUAGAUACCACAUGUUCUCUUUAUCUUGCAUUCUUUCAUUAUACACUAGUAGUAGAGUGGCUUUCUUCUCUUCUUCUAUCACAAGAUUUGCAAUCUUCUCAACCCUCUUGGUUGGACUCCAACAAUCCUUAGCAUAGUGACCUAUCUCCACACAUCUGAACAUUGGUGAAUGAUUGUUAAUGCUAGUUGAUCUUUCCUUUGUGCUUUUUGCACGGUUUCCUUUUGGGCUAAAGUCAACGUUGCUUCAUCUAUAGGCUCUUCAAAGCAUUUUUCAACUAUCUCUCAUACAUCUUGGGAACCUAGCCAGGCCUUUACUUGAAUACACCAAGUUUGAUAGUUGUUCUUCGUUAACCUAGGACAUUGAAGUGGAAGGUUUGAAUAGACCAUGUUAAAUAAUCACACCUAAGCUCUGAUACCACUUGUUUGAAAAGAAUAAUAAGGUAUGGUAGCUAAUUUAUAAGAACAAAGUUAAAGAACAAGAAGAAGAAUGAGAGGAAUGAUAUUUUUAUCAAGAGUUUUCUCAAAAGAUCACCUUUAUAACUCUUCUCUAGCAUAAGAAUUAUGUUGAUGAUGUAAGAUGAAUAUAUAUGUGAUUUGUAUUUAAUCGUAAUGGUUGUGACCAUAAUAUAGAUAUGAAUGACUAUAAUGACAAUAGUCCAUAUAUAUAAAUUAGAAUUUACCACAACAAUGGAAAUAAAAAAUAGAAAAAAUUAUAUAAAUCAGUGGCAAUAACAAAUUGUUCUAUUGUUUAUUAAAUGUGUUUGGAAUAAAAAGAAUUGAGUUAUGUGAUUGGAAUGGAAAGAUGCAUAGUGUUGCUACCCAAUUUUUGACCUAUGUUUUGAUAAAUUUUCAAAAAAAAAAAAACAGAGAGAGAGAGAGAACAUGUGGCGAUAACAUAAAGCAUCAAGGCUAAUAUUAAGAAAGCAAUAUGUCAAGGAGAUAAUUACUGAAUCAUAUAUAAUUACUGCAAAAUAAAAUACCAUAGAUAUAGGAUUUGCUUCGUGCUGGUUAUGGAAAAUAAUCACUACAAUAUAAAAUACUAUAUAUAUAGGAUUUGUUGGUGCUGGUUAUAGAAGACAAUCUCUGCAAUAAUUAUUGCAAUAUUUCCUUGAAUAGCAAGUGUAGAGAUUUUCUAUAUAAUUGAACCUCCAACCAUAUACAAAAAGGGGGGAGAAAAUUUACAGAGAAACAAUUUUAAGACAAAAAAUGAAGGCAACCACAAAACCCUAAACCUAAUUUUCUCUCCCAACCAAGAAAAGCAGCCACCCUGACUUUGAAAAGAAAACAGAGUGAGAAGAGAAAGUAAAAACAGAGAGAAGAGACCAAAAACAGAGGGAGGAGAAAGUAGAGAGAGACACAAAGAAAGAGUGAAGAAAAAAACCGAGAGAACCAGCAUAAGGUUGAGGUGAGAGAUAUAGAAAAACAGCGAGAACGAGAGGGAAGAUUAUCUCCAGUCUAUCUUACAUUGCAAAACAGGAGUUCACAAAAUCUAAGGGUCUUUUAAAACUCCUAAUAACAAAAAGAGGAAGGCUUUCUUUGGUUUUCAGAGGCCGGCAAAGGCUUUUCCAUCUAUCUGAACUUCAUCUUUUGCAUUCAGACAAGUAAGAUCUGCAGGUUAGUUUCCAUUUUUUUUCUUCCUUGCUAUAUUCAAACUUGGCAUCUGUUGUUUUUUUCUGUUCCAAACCUGUUCCUUCCUUUUACUCUGGAUAUUCGGUUCUGGUUGGACAAAAGGUCAUAUGCUUGCCCAUGGUUCAUGCAUGGCUUAGAGUUUAGAUUUUUUUUGUUCAUGUUAAAGUUACAUUUCUUUUCUUAUUCUCUUGCCGUGAGGAACCGUGAGCUUUAAAGGCUUUCAUUAUCUUUCCCUUUCUUUGUUCGAGUGUCUCUUUGCCUUAGGAUGUUGCAUAGUUUGAGUUUGGCUCCUAAAUAAAGCUCUAUCUAGAAAGUGAAACACAAGGGAAGUCCCUUUACAAUCAAGGCGGUCUUUUAGCAGACUUUUGGAUCACGUUUUCAUUUCUAUUGUUUUUUCUGAAAAAAGAGCUAAUUGGCCGUUGGUUUGUGUUUGUAGUUCUUUAUUUGCUUCAGUAUAAAGGUAUUGCUCAAGUCGUUUCCUUUUGCAUGAGACUAAUGAGUAUGGUAGUAUUAAAGAUCGGAAAAGAGGAUAGGUGUUGAGUCAUGGUUACUGUUAUAGGUUUUUGUUUUCAGAAUUAUGGUCUUCUUGUGCAUACAGACUUGCUAUCCUUUUUCAAUUAUAGGAUUUCGGUUUAAAUGGACGGACUGACUCUUGUGUGAUUAAAGUUUGGCUUUGGGAAAUUUAUUAUAUAUAUAUAUAUAUAUAUAUAUAUAUAUAUAUAUAUAUAUAUAUCAAUGUUUUGGGCCUUUUGCAAAUUUUAGAAUGGAUGUGUAUGGCUUGUUUUUCUUUUUUGUGAUGCUUGUGUUUUGACCAAAUAUAAAAAAUGUUUAUGUAUGUUGCAUACGGCCAAUACCCUAAUAUAUAUUGAAUAUUCCUUUAAAAAAAACAAAUAUUUCAAGUUUUAAAAGAAAAUGUGUUUUUAUCAUGGAUUUCUUAAACAAAAAAAUUGUUUUCUUGCAUUCUGGAUUUUAUAACAUGUUUGAAAAACUCCAAAGGGUGUUGGCCAAUAUUCCAAAAAAUAUAAGAAUCUUAUUUUUUGGGGAAUUCAUCUAUUAUUCACUGUUAAUGUUUGGAUAAAGAAAUCUCUAAGGGAUGAAUAUCCAAAAUAUUAUUGGGAAUAAUUUGUUAUUAUUCACUGUUAAUAUUUGGAUAAAGAAACUCCAAGUGGUUAAUAUCCAAAAUAUUUUUCUAGGAAUAAUAAGUUAUGAUUAUUUAUCACACAUCCUUGAAAGAAGUCUCGAUUAUAAUUGGGGACAUUUCAAUUUUUGACUCCACGGUUUACGAGCCGUGAAAGUAUGAAAUACUAAGAAAAAAUAGGCUUCUAAAGCACCUUGAAUUUCCUUAGAUAUCUAACUUAGUUUUUUUGUUUCUCUUUCCUGUGAUUUACGAGUCGCAAACACUUGAAAUACUAAGGGAAAAACGAGCUCUUAAGCACAUUGAAUCUCCUUAGUUCUGUCUUACCUAUCUCAUAAAUCAUAGGUUAUAAAUUAAGUCUGAAUCAAACUCAGAUUUCAAGAGAUCUGUAUUGGUUCUUCUAGGUACUUUGUAGGCAUAUCUAAGGGUGUGAUCCAUAUUUACUAAGGGUUCUUUCUUUUUAGACUUUGAGUCCAAGUUUGUUCAUCAUAACAAACUUAUCCUAGGAAAACUAAUGGGAUUAGAUGUCAAAGGAAAUACCUAUACCUACACAUUUAAUGCCAGCAGAUUCUUUGCCUAUUUAUUCUUUCCUUUAUUGGGAUAUAUUAGCUGUAGGUUAGCUGUUUCUAAGGGCUAAAGAUCAGCCUAUAUUAUUUCGUGUACUAGCCUGUAUUAUUUCCUGUUGUAUUGUUUCCUUUCUUAGCUUGUAAAUUCUACUUAUAUAAUGGGCAAUUCUCAAUAAGAAGACAUACAAUUUUAUUCAAAAGACUCUAAACUGUUAUGGUAUCAGAGCUACAACUCUGAAUUAUUAUUUGCUAUCAAGUUUCUUAGUCUCGGUUAUUCUUGAUCAAAGUUCUCUUGACCUCAUGUCUUCAGAUAAGUCUGAUGUUUCUAUGAUUCGUUUUAAUGCCAAGAACUACUCUGCUUGGGUGUUUCAUUUCAGGAUUUUUGUCAAAGGUAAGAAGCUGUGGGGAUAUGUUGAUGGAAGAAACCCAACUCCUGAGAAAAUCAAAGACAUAGACCAGCACGCCAAGUGGGAAGUCAAGGAUGCUCAAGUUAUGGCUUGGAUCUUAGGAUCUGUCAAACCUAACAUCAUCUUGAAUCUUCGAUCCUCUUAGACUGCAGCUCAGAUAUGGACUUACCUGAAGAAAUUCUAUAGCCAAUAAAACACUGCUCGUUGGUUUCAUCUUGAACAUGAAUUGAGCACUCUUCAACAUGAUAGUCUUUCUAUCUCUGAUUUUUACUCUAGAUUCAUUAAUCUUUGGAUUGAAUACACUAAUAUAGUUUAUGCUGGCUUACCAUCCGAAGGUCUUAGCUUUGUUCAAUCUGUUCAUGAAACUACUCAACGGGAUCAGUUUCUAAUGAAACUGAGACCUGAAUUUGAAGGCACCAAAUCCAACAUGAUGAACCGAGAAUUUGUUCCCUCCUUGGAUACAUGCCUUAGUGACCUCCUUUGCGAAGAACAACGCCUUCUCACUCAAACCACCAUGGAACAAUGACGAUCUACAUCUAUUCUUGUGGCCUAUGCAGCACAAGGUAAUCCAAGAGGUAGAGAUAUGAGCACUAUUCAAUGUUUUUGUUGUAAGGGAUUUGGCCAUUAUGCUACAAAUUAUCCUCGAAAAUUCUGCAACUAUUGCAAAAAAGAUGGCCAUAUCAUCAAAGAAUGCCCUACUCGACCUCCCAAGAAAAUAGAGACAGCAUAUACCGUCUUAGUUGGCUCUUCACCUCUGACAUAAAGUGCUCCUACUCCUGUCCAAUCCGUGACUCCUGCCAUGAUUCAAUAAAUGAUCAUUUCUGUAACAACCCGGCUUUCUAAGCCCAAAACAAUAGUAAAUUUUUUUUUUAUAUAUAUAUAUAUUUAAUACACAUGGUGCCGGUAAUCAAAGAACUUGAAUCCUCACAUCAUCAAAAUACAAUCCAUACAAUCAACAGUUCAUUCAAAAGCGAAUCUUACACAAACACAUAAUAUUAAGGUUGCAUGAUUUGAAGUUCAUAUUAAAAAUAUAUAUACAUGGACAUGAGUUUGCACUCUUAUACUUCUAAUAGCCAUCACAAUUUUUAAACAAAAAGGAUCUAAUAAAAGUUAUACAUUCAGUACAUUGAUCCCUACAAAAUACAUUGUGAUUUAGAAUGCAUCUACUUAAUUCCUUGCAAAAGUAGGUUCCCGUGUAUCGGGUAUCCUAGACAUCUCGUUGGUGUGACGUCCCUGCAGCAGUACAAAACAUUUAAGAGAAAACAAAUACUUAAUAAUAAUAAUAAUGGUAACUAACGGCCUAGCAAUUAAAUAAGCAUUAACAUUUAUAAUUUCUUCAUGUAUUUGAUGUAACAAUUAGUAGUACAUAUAGAUACACAAGUUUUCAAAUGCCAUUCGCCGAAACUAGUCGUUUAUUUGUCCCGGCUAUCCAUCCGGAUUCCAUAGCGAUAGCUGCGUCGCUGCCAAUCCUAAAAUCAGCAGCCGAAACUACAUCGCUGCCGAUCAAGGAAUCGGCAGCGAAACUGGGUCGCUGCCGAUGUCUGUAUCGGCAGCGAAGACUGCAUCGCUGCUGAUCCAGAAUCGGCAGCGAAUACUGUGUCGCUGCCGAUCCAGAAUCGGCAGCGGAACUGCGUCGCUGCCGAUCCACAAUCGGCAGCAAAAUCAUCCCUUUUUAACCCGGCCAUCCAUUCGGACGCCAUUAGCCAAAGCUAAUCAUUCUUUGUCCCGGCCAUCCAUUCGGAUGCCAUUAGCCGAAGCUAAUCACUCUUUGUCCCGGCCAUCCGUUUGGAUGCCAUUAGCCGAAGCUAAUCAGUCCUUCAUCCCGGCCAUCCAUUCGGACGCCAUUAGCCAAAGCUAAUCAUUCUUUGUCCCAGCCAUCCGUUUGGAUGCCAUUAGCCGAAGCUAAUCAGUCCUUCAUCCCGGCCAUCCAUUCGGAUGCCAUUAGCCGAAGCUAAUCACUCUUUUAUCAACAAUUAAGCGUUCGACAAUUUAAUAUCGGUUCUAACAAUAUGGUAGUACUCAAGUUAAAAUAUUCCAAGAUUCAACGUAUGAAAAAGAAAGGUGCAAGUCACCUACCUGCUCCACCUGUGGGUCGUUCCUGUCUUGAUGAUGGUCCAAUCCCGACCGCACCACCUAAGACAUCAAUGGUCACAAAUCAGCACAGUUGUAUUUAUUUUAUUUUUGAAUCACAUUCAUCAUCACACUUAUUUCUAUAGUUCAUAUGUUCACAUUCAAGUGUUCCCUAUUUUACACCAUCACAUCAUGAAAUUGUUAUUAGCAUUUAAGUCAUUCCUGCCUAGGAGGCUUAUUGUAGGAAUCGGCAGCGAGAACUGGUUCGCCGCAGGCUGCCAGUUCGGCAGCGAGAACUGCACCGCUGUUGGCGCCACAGUUUCGCUGCACAACGCACAACUCGGCAGCGAAUAUCACUUCGCUGCAGGACGUUCAGCUGCGGCAGCGAAACAGAAUUUCGCUGCGCAACACACAAAUCGGCAGCGAAUAUCAAAUCGCUGCAGGAGGUUCAGUUGCGGCAGCGAAACAGAAUUUCGCUGCGCAACACAUAAAUCGGCAGCGAAUAUCAAAUCGCUGCAGGAGGUUCAGUUGCGUCAGCGAAACAGAAUUUCGCUGCGCAACACACAAAUCGGCAGCGAAUAUCAAAUCGCUGCAGCAGGUUCAGUUGCGGCAGCGAAACAGAAUUUCGCUGCGCAACACACAAAUCGGCAGCGAAUAUGAAUUCGCUGCAGGAGGUUCAGUUGCGUCAGCGAAAUAGAAUUUCGCUGCGCAACACACAAAUCGGCAGCGAAUAUCAAAUCGCUGCAGCAGGUUCAGUUGCGGCAGCGAAACAGAAUUUCGCUGCGCAACACACAAAUCGGCAGCAUCAAUUUCAGCACAAUCAUCACAGCAGAACACAUUAAUUCCAGCAACAAACAUCACAGCAGAACACAUUAAUUCCAGCAACAAUCAUCACAGCAGAACACAUUAAGUCCAGCAACAACAUCACAGCAGAACACAUUAAUUACCCCCUAGUUAAAGCCAGCCCUCUACCAUGAUUUGUUAGAUGUUCUGAAAUUGACUUUAUUUCACUUUUGUUUGCUUGUUCUCUUGGUUAAUUUCAGCUUCCUUCACAGCUGGCUUAGGUCUUAGAUCAAUUCUUUUCUUAGGGUUUUUCUUCUUCAUUUUCGUUUUUGAUCUUACGGGGGAGAGGAAGAGAGUUUCAUGACCCAUACCUUCUGAAUUUAACUAAGUUUGAGGAAGGUUGGACACUAUUCAGCUGCUGGUUCUCCUCCUUCUUCUUCCUCUCACGUUUUCCAGCUCUCUUUUUCCUCUCCUCUAUGCAGCUGCCCACUCCUCUCUCAAGGUCUCAUCUCUCCCUCACAAGUUCACAAAGUAAUCUCUACUGGUCUGAUUCACGUUUCUGUUGUGAAAGGGGAAGGGAAGAACGGCAUGCAGCUGCUGGAUUUGGAAGAAGAUGGGUCAUUCUCUCUCCCCUCUUUGUAUUUAUACUACCCAUCCAAUGAAAUGGGUUGUUUGGGGGUUGGUUUAGGUGUGUCCUUAUCCUUGUUUGGUUUAUCUAAAAUCAGUUUUACCCCUCCCUCCCAGCUCUGCGUCACUGUUCAUUGAGAAAUCGGCAGCGAAAACUGCAUCGCUGCCGAUUUCUGCAUCGGCAGCGAAAACUGCAUCGCUGCCCAGUCCAGAAUCGGCAGCGAAAACUGCAUCGCUGCCCAGUCCAGAAUCGGCAGCGAAAACUGCAUCGCUGCCCAGUCCAGAAUCGGCAGCGAAUACUGCAUCGCUGCCGAUUUCUGCAUCGGCAGCGAAAACUGCGUCGCUGCCGAUUUCUGCAUCGGCAGCGAAAACUGCAUUCAUCAUCAUCUCUCUCUCUCUAAAUAUAUAUAUAUUUUCCUUUGGGUGUUUACAAUUUCUGCAUUUUCAGCUUUGGGACUCUCAGGUAAAAAUCUUUCUACAUCAUCUUCUUGGUAUUUUGAUUCCGCAGCUUCCAAUCAUAUGACAAACAAUGCUGCUUCUCUUACCAAUGUCAACGAAUAUUUUAGAAAUCUCAAAAUUCAUAUUGUUGAUGGCAGUCAUUUACCUAUCACGGCCACUAGUGAUGUUUCUCCUUCUCUCACUAAUGUUUUUGUAUCACCUGGUCUUACCACCAAUCUUGUGUCUGUCGGUUAGUUGGUUGAAAAUGAUUGUAAACUGGAAUUUUCCAAAUCUGGUUGUGUUGUGCAGGAUCAACAGUCAAGGAGAAUGAUUGCGAGGGGGCCUAAAGUGGGACGUCUUUUCCCUCUUUAAUUUCCUUUGUCUCCUUUUUCUUUGCCCUUUGUCACUUGUAAUUCUGCUCAUGUAGAUUACCAAGUGUGGCAUAAACAUCUCGGACAUCCAAACUCUAAUGUUCUUCAUGAUUUAUUGAAAUCUGGUUUUCUUGGAAAUAAAGAUUCACCAUCUCUUAGUGCUGUUCAGUUUGAUUGCAAUUCUUGCAGGCUUGGCAAAAGUAAAACUCUACCCUUUCCUAUUCACACACCACACAUAGUCCAACCUUUCGAUUUGAUACAUAAUGAUGUGUGGGGUAUGGCACCAGUCACUUUUCAUGCUAAUUACAAAUACUUUGUCACUUUUAUUGACGAUUAUAGCCAUUUGACAUGGAUUUAUUUCCUUCAUUCUAAAGACGAAGUAUUUUCUGUUUUUAAGAUUUUUCAUGCACAUAUCCAGAACCAAUUUUCAGCCCAAAUCAAAAUCCUUCGUUCUGACAAUGGGGGUGAGUAUAUGUCUAAUUUGUUUCAAGACUUCUUACAGCAUCAUGGCAUCAUUUCUCAACGGUCUCGCCCUUCAACACCUCAAUAAAAUAGGGUGGCUGAAAGAAAGAAUCGUCAUCUUCUUUAUGUUGUUCGUACUCUCCUAUUAGAGUUGUCUAUACCUUCUCGUUUUUGGUGGGAAGCUCUCUCCACUGUUGUCCACCUCAUCAACAGAUUGCCUUCCCCCACAUUGAACCACGACACUCCUUUCCUCAGGUUGUUUGGUCAUCCUCCAACUUAUUCCAACCUCCGUACCUUUGGUUAUGUCUGUUAUGUGCAUCUUCAUGCACAUAAACGCACAAAACUCACGGCCCAGUCAAUUCAAUGUGUUGUUCUAGGAUAUUGAGUACACCAGAAAGGUUUUCUUUGCUAUGACCCAAAUCUGCGUCGCAUUCGAAAAUCUAUAAAUGUGAUCUUUCUAGAAAACCAAUAUUUCUUUUCUGUGCAUCAGGAUCCUGUUCCUCCUUCAUUUUCUGUUUUGCGUAUGUUUACUAACUCUUUUGUAGCUCCAGUCCCUUCUAAACCUCUCCUAGUAUAUCAAAGAUGUUCAUCUGCUACUUCCCACCAGCCUCCAGACCCUCUCAAGCCCCCUCACGUUCCUUCCUCGAUUACUGCUCCUAUUCUAGCAACUACAACCCCCUGUCAUCGAUAAAGUACUCAGGCUCGUAGACCCCCUGAUAGGUAUGGUUACUCUCCUUCCUCAUCUUUCACAACCACCUUGUCUUCUACUUUUCUUCCUUCAUCUUAUAAACAGGCAAUUGAGCACGAGUGUUGGCGAAAAGCCAUUGAAACUGAACUUCUCACACUUGAAGAAAACCAAACCUGGGAUGUUGUUCCAUGCCUCUCAUCUGUGAAUCCCCUUGGCAGUAAAUUUGUGUUUUCUAUCAAGCGUCGUUCUGAUGGGUCCAUCGACCGUUACAAGGCUCGGUUAGUGGCACUUGGCAACAAACAGGAAUAUGGUCUUGACUAUGAUGAGACCUUUGCACUAGUCGCUAAAAUGACCACUGUCCGAACUAUACUCGCCCUUGCUGCAUCUCAAUCCUGGCCCUUACAUCAAAUGGAUGUCAAGAAUGCCUUCCUUCAUGGUGAUCUCAAGGAAGACAUUUACUUGAAACUUCCUUCUGGUAUAUCCACUUCCUCAUCUAAUGAUGUUUGCAAACUGAAACGUUCUUUGUAUAGUUUGAAGCAAGGAUCGAAAGUAUGGUUUGACAAGUUUCGAUCCACGUUGCUGGGUUUCUCCUUCACUUAAAGUCAAUAUGACUCCUCUCUCUUUCUACAAAAGACAUCCAUGGGUAUCGUUGUCCUCCUUGUUUAUGUGAACGAUAUCGUCAUCACUGGCUCUGACUUGGAGGCAAUCUCUGCGAUUCAGACUUUGUUGCAUUCUACAUUCCACAUGAAAGACCUCGGUUAGCUCACCUAUUUUUUGGGCUUGGAAGUGCAUCAUCAACCUCACGGUCUCUUCCUGCAUCAGCCAAGUAUAGUCAGGAACUAGUUCAGUUAGCCGGCCUCACCAACACUACUUCGGUUGACACUCCCAUGGAACUUAAUGUGAAAUAUCGUUGUGACGAAGGGGAGCUUUUUGAUGAUCCUACUACCUAUCAGAAGCUAGUUAGUAGUCUUAUCUAUCUAACUAUUACUUGACCAGACAUUUGUUAUGUUGUUCACACUGUCAGCAAAUUCAAGCAAGCACCAAGGCAUCUCCAUCUAUCUACUGUCUGCCGUAUAAUUUGCUACAUUCUUGGCACUCCUAGUCGUGGCUUAUUCUUCCCUACAGGUUCUUCACUUCAACUAUAAGCCUAUAGUGAUGUUGAUUGGGCCGGUUGCCCUGACACUAGGAAAUCUACUACCGGCUGGUGUAUGUUUCUUGGUGAUGCCCUUAUCUCAUGGAAAUGCAAGAAAUAAGACCACGUCUCCAAAUCAUUAAUUAGUACUUAAAAGUGCAUUUUUAUCAAGGUUUUAUAUCAUCAUUUUGCACUUAAAGUAUCAAUAACUCCUUAACUAAAGCAUGUUUUAUAAUAACAAGUCUGAUACUAUAAGAUACCUUUAAUUUAUGGUAAAUGUUCAUCUCAAAUACAGGCCUAUCACAUAAAUCAUUGGAUUGAUUAAUGAGUGUAACUACUGAAAUUGAGAAGACAAAGAGAGGGUCAAACUUAGAAAAGAGAUGCUGGUUCUGUCCAAACUAGAACACUAUUCAGUCAUUGGGUCAUAUCUGGAGCUGUAGAUCUUGGAUUUCAAUUUGGUUUAUAUGGCUACAAAGCUAAGACAUAGGCCUAAAACAUUCAUGCGAAGCCCAAGACUCAAUUCUGCUGUUUAGAAGUCCAAAUCUUAGCAACAACAGAGAAAUCAGAAUAUGUCCUGCAGCCCAGACACUGUUCAGUGUUUAGCCCAUAUCUCGAGUUCUAGAAAUCCAAAUGUACUGAUUCUUUUUUUGUUGGAAAGCUGAGACAAUUUCCUAUAAAUUUCAUAGGAUAAUCUAUUCAAAUUCUGACAUUAGUAAUGACGUUUUGUUCAGACAAAAAGAUAAGGAUUGUCACCAAGUCAAGAUGUGGCCACCCACUCAACAAUUAGUCAUCAAAUCAAUAGUUCCAAAUUUUGGCCUAUAAAAGGAGGCAUUUGCCAUGCAGUAGGCAUCUUGGUUUUCAGAUAAAGAUCAUGCUCUUGCUCUCUCUCUUUUUGUAAUGCUUAAGUUUUGUUUAUAUUAAUCUCUUGUUUAUGCUUUUCAUUUCCUUUCGUUUACUUAGUUAACUUAUAUCUUAUUUAUGUUCUUAUCUUGUUUAUUUAUGUUUCUCUUUUUCAUUAUAUUUGGCUAAGUUUAUUAUGUCAAGGUGAAAAGGUUACACUAAUGGUUUAAGAAUAAGUAUAGUGUAAACUCGACGUGGACUUUAAUGUUUAAUACUAACAUGUUUUAUAUUUGUUAUCUUGUUCACUUUUAAUACUUUUCUUAUUAAAUAGUUAAUCUAGAUUUAUGUUGUAUAACACUUGGUACAACAAAUACUUUGCACUUUCAUAGCCCAAACCGUAUGGUAUAACCGACACUUGUGUUAUGAAAGGAACUUGAUUUGUUGUUAACAUAAGUUAUAAUCAUGAAUGUCUAACAACAUUUACAAGUAUUAGCAUUAUUCGAAUGAGAUAACUAAUGUAAUCAUGUUAAUAAUUUAUAAUCUGAUUGAAACCUUCUUUGUGUGUGGUUUCCAGUUGAAUAAUAAGAGUUUAUACUAUACUUGUUUGAAAUACCAUUAGUGGAUCCUCUAACCUUGACAAUUGUUUUUAUCAUUGUUUAAUCCUUAUAUCAAUAUCACAUCUCAAAACUCUCUUUAUUAUUAUUAUUAUUACUACUACUACUACUACUACUACUACUACUACUACUACUACUACUACUACUAUUACUAUUCUUAUUGUUGUUGUUGUUGUUGUUAUUGUAUUAUUGUUAUUUAUAAUUUAUAUAGUUAACCUCCUUUUGGUUCGACCCCGGUCUUGCCGGGUUAUUUAUUACUUCGACACUCCUGCACUUGGGAGAAGACAUCAAUCUUUUGGUUGUGUCAAUCAUCUACUGAAGCAGAGUACCGAGCCAUGUCUGCUGCUUGCUAUGAGAUCAUUUGGUUGCGUGGUCUCCUCACAGAACUCAGUUUCUGUCCAGUUCAUCCUACUCCACUUCAUGCUAACAACACUAGUAUCAUCCAAAUUGCAGUCAAUCCUGUCUAUCACGAACGCACCAAGCACAUUGAGGUUGACUGUAACUCAAUCAGGGAAGCAUAUGAUCAUCAGAUUAUCACCCUUCCACAUAUCUCCACCACUCUACAGAUCGCAGAUAUCUUCACCAAAUCCAUGCCCCGUCAGCGCCAUCAUUUCCUUACUGGCAAAUUGAUGCUUGUCGAUUAACCAACAUCAAUUUAAGGGGGGAUGUCAAAGGAAAUACCUAUACCUACACAUUUAAUGCCAGCAGAUUCUUUGCCUAUUUAUUCUUUCCUUUAUUGGGAUAUACUAGCUGUAGGUUAGCUUAGCUAAUUCUUUCCUUUUAGGUUGUUGUCCACAAGCUCUUGUUGCCUAACUUAGCUGUUUCUAAGGGCUGAAGAUCAGCCUAUCUUAUUUCCUGUAUCAACCUAUAUUAUUUCCUGUUGUAUUCUUUCCUUUCUUAGCUUGUAAAUUCUACCUAUAUAAUGGGCAAUUCUCAAUGAGAAGACACAUAAUUUUAUUCAAAAGACUCUAAACUGUCAUUAGAAAACACCAACACCAUAGCAAUUAUAAGGCAAACCAAACACCAACCAGCUUACCUUAGGUAAGGCAUACUAGGGGUGCUAAUACAUUUCCUUUACGCAACUAGUCCCUUGCCUUAGAAUCUCUGAAAGACCAGUUAGGUUUCCUAAUGACCAUAAUACUAGGUGGCGACUCCCUUAUUCACAAAACAAAAAAACUCGACAUGAAUCCCCGCUUUCAGGGAGGGUCGCCGCGACUCCGCGCUCUGCGCGAGGGUGCGACACAUAGUAUGGUCAAAAUGAAAAUAAAUAGAUUAAAUAUUGAAGGAGGAAUAUAUGAAUUAAUUGUAAAAAUGUGAUUAAUAUGAUACUUAGUCAGUCAUUUGGAUGGGGACUAAGGUUAUAAAUAUGAUAUUUAGUCAGCUAAAAGAGAGAAAGGUUAUGAAUAUGAUACUUUAUCAACCAUAUAGACGAGACUAAGGUGAUGAAUGUGAUAUUUAGUCAGCUAUGUGGAUGGGACUGAGGUGAGGGAAAUGAUACCUAGUCAGUCGUGUGGACAGUGAUUAAGAAUAUGGAUAUGUUACACAAUCAACCAUUUGAACGGAGGCUAUUGAUAUAAACAUGAGAAUUAAUAGGUUAUUUAGAUUGAGACUCACAAAAUUAAAUUAAAGUUGGCUAUUUGGAUAGUGACUUGUGGAUAUGAAUUAAAGUUGGCAAUUUGAAUGGAAACGAACUAGUACUAGGUAAUAAUUGUAGUUAAGGAAAAUGCGUAAGCACUAAAUAUAAUCAAAUACUUCUUAAUUAUUUUUUAUGUUAUUAUGAUAUUUAAAUUGGUAGUAUGUAUAUCAUUUCAAAUGGCUUUUCAUUUGGUAGUGAGUAAAUGUUUUUAUAUGCCAAGAACUUAUGGUUAUUGAUUUUGAAAUGUUUACGUUAGAUUUUCUCAUAUAUUUCAUGGACAUAUUGUAUAAUUAAUAGGGAGAAUGUAUUGUGAUCCAUAGGGGGAGCAAUCAUUCAUAAUUUUUGGUGACAUGUUAAUACUUGUGAAAGUAUUAAUAGUUUGUCAUCAUCAAAAAAGAAAAAAAAUACUAGCAGAAAGCUAUCAUUUGCUCAUAGUUUUGAUGAAUCAAACCAAUAAGAAGUUACUAAUCAUUUUCUUAAAGUUGUGUUGAUAUAGGUUCUUUACUAUGUCUGACAUUUCAAGGAUUAUCGAUAAGUCUUGAAGUUGUGAUAAAAAUAUGAAACUAUAUUAAUGGUAUACUUUUCUUCAAAAUUAGUCUUAGGAUGUUAUAUGUUGUUCAAGUUUUUUUAAAAACUAAAUUCUUAAAACCAACUUUUUAUACCUAAAAUAUUAUCCUGAAAAAUUAGUCAUAAAAUUCCCUAAAAUACCUUAUAACCCUUAAAAAGUCUAAGACCUCUAAUACACCAGAUAACCAUACAAAACACAUCUCUAAAGCCUUUUGGAAUGCUACACUGUAAGCCAAAUAGUAUGUGGUUUACCAAUUAACUAAACUAGAUAUAAAAUUUCAAAGAUAACUACUAAACUAGAUAUCCUUACUAGAUAAACAUUUUUUAGACCACUCAUAUACUAGAUGAUUUUUUAGCAUAUAUGGUUGGCCAUUUAUUACUUGAAUGAGUUGAAAUUAUUCUCUGUCUCUUGUACUCAAGUGUGUAAAAGUCGUACCAAGCUUGUCCUUGCACUUAUGUUUGAAUAUGAAAAUACCUUAUCUCUCAUCUUCCAACUAGGAUAAGCAAGACAAGCAAUUUAAUUUCCAUCUCUAUGACACCACUCUAUUCUCUCUUGAAUAAUAUAGUUUUUACAUCAUUUAGCUUAAACCAUAUUAUAUACCAAUCUUUAAAAAUUCAAAGUUCUUGGCCUAUUCUUACAUAUUCUAAACAACUACAAGCUUGAUUUUCUCUAUAAAUGGGCCUCUUCUUAUAUAUUUUAAAGGUUGUUACAAUCAUUAAGCUUUUAUUCAUGUUUAUACAAAAUCAAUUCCUUUAAUUUCCAAGUGUACUCUUUAUUAUUCUCUUAUAUAUUGAUUGCUUCACCUACCUCACUUAAAAACAAUUAGAUUACACCUAUUAAAGACUUGAGAUUAUUUUCUAAUAUAAUCUAUUUUUUGUGUAUAUUUUAUUUCAUUUGUUUUUAGUAAAACUUCUUGUUAAAGUGUAUAUAGCACUAUAACCACUAAGAUUUUAGUUAUGACCUUUAUGUGCAAGCUUGUAUAGAUUUCGGUCUAUCUUCCUCAAAAAGGAAAUGUUGGGUUUAAUCUUGUUUCCAAUCUUAAAAGGUCAAUUGGUUCUUUGACAUAGAGUGUGAAGUAGACAGUUAGUUAUAAAAGAAAAUGGAGUAUGUGGUAAAAACAAAUCACUAUAAAAUUCAUUUGUUUCUCUCCUACCUAUCUCUUUAUUUAUUUUUUAUUUUUUAUUUUUUUGCACUUUUACUUGUGUUGUUAUGUGGAUUGUAUGCUUAAGCAAGCCAUUUUCAUGUGUAUGGAUGAUAGAAAUUGUUGUGGACAUGUGUUUGAUAUUAUUGUGUGGUUGAAAAGGUUGUCGUGGUUGUGAUCUUGUUCUUUGAGGUGGAUUUAAUUAUAAAAAAAAUACCUCGUCCAUCUCCAUCUCUUAAAUGCUUAGGGGUAUCAAAAGAAUUAUGAGAUCAAGAUUCAUGAUUAAGUUUGUUCUUAUUUUUUUAAAAAAGAAAUCUAAGAAAUGGAUCUUGAGAGGUUUUAAGGUAAAUACAUAUAUAUUUUAGAGUAAAAAAUGGAUUUAUAAAGAUGAUGGGAGAUAAUUUUGAUAUAUUUUUAAUUUAAAUGUUGUAAAAAAUAGAGUUUUAUAGGAAAAAUAAGUGGUGAUUAGUUAUUUUCAUAACUUAAAAGUCACUUGAAAAGAUAACAAACCAGGAAUCUUUUAAAUUAGAUAACUUGUCAUUUUUUAAACCAGACUCACUCUAUCUUUAGCAUUGUUUAAUGUAUUUUUUUAAUUAUUAUCUUUUUAUAAAAAUCAAGUUGGUACUCAUAUAAAUUUUAAAAAUUAAAUACAUAAUAAGAAUAUUAUUCCUUUUGACAUGAUUUUAGUGAAGCGAAUUUUAAUGAAGUGAUAUUGAAAAAGUUUGAGACAAAAUUUUCCAUUAAAAUUUUAAAUUUAUUUGUCGUUAACUAAUAUAAUAUAUUUUUACAUAUUAAUAUUAUUAUCAAUAUUUUUAAUUGAGAAUUUAUGGCGCCAUAUAACUUUAGGGGUUAAGAAGAUUUUCGAAUAAUUGAUAAAUAUUUUUUAUUUUGACGUGAUAAAACUAGAAUGAAAUUUCAAUCUUGAUUUUAGAAACAUUGGUUUAUGAUAAAAAAUUUCAUGUAAAAUUUAUGGAGGAAUAAUACUUUAGAAUUUCUCAGAAUUCAUAAAUCUUUAUGAAAGGAUUUUUUUAGUAAAAAUUAAAAAAUUUUACUUAAUUUAUAAAAAUCAUCUAAUUUUAUAAAACUUAAUCUUGGUAGAUUUGUAAUGCAUAAUAAGAGUUGAUUAAAAAUUAAAACAUAUUUUAGAAGCAGUCUCAUAGCAUCGCGCAGACAUGUUUGCAAGCUUUUUUUAUUUGAUUUGCUUCCACUAUCAUAAUCUUUAGAUUUACCGACGGAAUGUUUCGUCGGUAUUUACACUAUCAUUCUAUUGGUAAUUAAUUUACCAACGAAAUCACCGACGGAAACACUCCGUCGGUGAAUCUUGUGUCAGUAAUUUUUUGUCCGUCGGUAAGUCCGUUUGUAAUAAAAAAAUAUUAUUACUGAUGGAUUUACUGACAGAAAAAGCAAGCAAAAAGAAAAAUUACCCGCUUCAUUCCAUCGGUAUUUCCCUCGGCAAAAUACCGUAUGUAAUUCCGUCGGUAAUUAUUUAAAAAUAUUUAAAAAAAUCUAUUUUACAAAACUAUAAAAUAAUUAAAUUAAUAUAAAUCAACACUCUAUAACACUCAAAAUGCUUGGAAAAAAGAAGAAAAUCAACUCAAACAAAUUUGCAACAAAUAAAUUCAACUAAAAAAAUUCAUAUGAAAAAAAUUUAAAAAUCCUAUAAAUAAAUCAAUUAAAAAUUGAUCUCAUAUGAAAAUAAAAAUCCUACACCAACAUUCAUACAAUUAUUAAGAACAAAAACAAUUAAAAACAAAUAAAAAACAAAUAUAGUGAAAAAAACACGAAAAAAUUAGUUGUAAGUGAAGCUAAGAAGAGAAAAACAAAUUCAUAAAGUAUACUAAUUAAAAAAAAAUUAAGAAGAAAAAAGAAGAAAGGAAAAGAAGACAUACCUGAGCAUAGAGGAGAAGAGAAGGAGUUGAGGAGAGAAGAGAAGAAAAACAAAUGGAUAUUGAUGUUUUUUACAUAUGAGGGAGAAGAAGAAGAAGAAGAAGAAAGGAGACGGGUCUGUUGUGAAAUUAGGGAUUCUAGGUUUUUUAUUGGAGUGUUUUACCGAUGGAUAAUUAAAUAUUAAUAUUUUUAAUCAUUCCGUUAGUGAUUUCGUUUAUAAUAUAUAAUUUAAAAUUUUCAUUUAAUAAAAUUUUUUCAGAAACCGCUAAAUAUCACCGACGACUUUUCAAUCUGUUGGUGAUUCCGUCUGUAAUAUUUAAUUUAAAUUUUUAAUUUAAUCUUAAGUUUUUAGAAAACCGUCAAAUAACACCGAGGACUUUUCAAUCCGUCGGUGAUUUUAUCUAUAAAGAACAAUAAUUAACAGUGCAAUUGGGAAGUGAACAGUUCCAUCCGGAAAAUACCGACGGAAUUUUCAGUCGAUGAUUCCCUUUGUAAUUGACAUGGUGAAUAGUAUUCACAGUUCACCAACGGUUUUGCCGACAGAUUUUACCGACGGAAAUAUUUCCUGUUCCCUCGGUAUAUUUCGGUAAUUUUGUUGGUAAAAUCGUCAGGUCAUCAUUUUUUUUACUUUGUUUUAAUUAUUUUGUUUCUCACUGUAAUUCCCUCGGUAUAUACCAAGAGAAUAUUUUCAUCGGUAAAAUCUGUCGGUAUAUUUUCGAUGGAAAUAUUUUCUCGGUAUUUCCGUUUGUAUUCAUCAAUUUUUUGGUAAUGUUCCCUUUACUUUAAGAUUUAAGAUUCAAGAGUUUCGCAAUAUUUGUUUUUCUUUCGAUUCGUGGAUUUAUUAAAUUUACCAGCAAAUGUACAUAAGUUUCCUGAGUUUAUAUAUAUAUAUAUUAAAAAAAGAUAAAUCACCCUACCAAAUCAUAUCCUGAAUCUAUAGACUUAGAGACUUAGCUUAGUGUAUGCAUCUAAUCCUAUUGACAAAUUUCAGUGCUUAGUCAACAACGACCUUAAUCACUGCAAAUGGAGUUAGGAGAACUAAUUAAUAUUCACCGUAACCUUGAUCUCUGGCCAUGUUCUUCAUUUUCUUUUCAUCUUUUUGAUCCUUAUGUCGUGAAAUUUAUGGCAUUUCAGUCUGAGCUUGCGAGGAACCCUAAUUAGUCUCCAAAUUGUCAGAGUUACUCACAUAUUCCCACUUCGUAGAGCCCCAUUCAUCCUUAUCUAGUGCUUGAGCAAAAGUUGAAGCCCUCCUAGGAACUCGGGUUUUAUUUCCGUUGUAAAAGUAUUUUGUAAUUCUCUCUUCACUGCUUGAACCACUCUUACCACCUGGAGUGAGAUGGCCUCCAUCUGCUUCUUGAUGAGGCCGUGAAUUCCUGAACAAGCGAAUGAGAAAUAGCAGAAAACAAAUAGUAGAUAUCGCAGCAGAUACAAUGUAGAUUCCCUUGAAGCUGCGGAGGCUCAGGCUUUCGACAUUAUUAUUAGUUGCCGAAGUUGAACACUCAGGUGAGGGGGCAAACCACUUUUCUUCGAAAAAUGUUAUGUUUCCAUCCUCCGAUAGGCAUAGAAUCUCUCUAGAAAAAUCAGCAGCAAAAGGAGAGCCUUUUUGGAAUGCCUGCAGGUACAGCAAAUAUCAUAAUAUUUAGUAAUAAACAAACGUUCAAAGAAAUGGCUUCACCGUGUUUCAAGUCUUUAAAAAGGUUCCUGACAUCAUAAUGCAAAGAAAAUAGAAUUGCAGUGGAUAUUAAUACUUACAAAGCCGAGCCCUCCAAAUCUGUAUGUGGCUUUUGAGCCGCUGUAACUUUUACAAUGUUGAUUGAGGAAAAGUCUCUCAUAUGGGAGUUCAAGAAAAGCAGCAGCUAUGCUGUUCCUUUCAAAUUCAGUUGUGUAAUUAUUUUCACGGUUAAAGACCUUGAUUUUAUCGUGAUCAAAUCCAAGAACAUCCUGGAGGUACUGCUGGACGAAAGAAUCAUCAUCACAACCAACAUUCAACUUGUCCUUCUUUAGUUUCUCAAACUCUGAAAAAUUCGGUUUCAUUCGUUGCACGGUGAGCAUUGAAGUCAAACUGGCAGUGUAGCUUGAGGUUAAGAUAAAGACAACACAAAGCCACGCUACCACCACAACUCGAGUGAAGUUGCUAUAAAGUUUCUCCCCUGCAAAAUGUAACAAUGAGCUUCUAAGGUUACUGACAGAGAAUGUGCCGUCAAAGAGUCUUGGAUACAUAUGCCAUAUAUAACUUGUGAAACUGAAUACUUACUCUGAGCAAAGAAUAGAGAUGAAAAUGUGAACCAAAACGCGGUCCCGAACUGAUACUUCCGAGGUCCUCUAAAUUCUGGAUUCGUUUGGUGCUCGAGGAACCAAAUUAUAAGCAUUGUGUAGAUGAAUAUAGCACAACUCACCAUCCACAUCUCUAAGUUAAAAGGCUUCACGAAAAUCCAUGUUGUAUCUUCAGUCUCAAAUGGAACUAUCAUGGACAAUCCUGACUCUGCGUAAGGUUGAGUGAACUCUACGUAUUCUGUUCUUUCAGCUAAUAUGGUUAUAUCUCCAAUGGCAGCAUCAUAAGUCUUCCGAUUAACAAGUGGCACAAGAGUCAAACAAUGGCACUCAGCACAAAAAUAAUGUUGAAAAAACAGCUGAUAGAACGAGACAGGAGCAAAAUAAUGGCAAAAUCAUACAACUCCUCAAUGGGCCUCAAUGAACUAGUCAAAGUUUGUCUAGUUAAACUAUGAGAAAAGUCUGAAGUAUCUCAUAGAAAUGUAUGGUGGAGAAAUUUCAAUUUCUUAUCAGAAACAAUGCUAUAUGAAUUUAUUCUUGGUUUUGAGUUGCAGCCAAUUUCGACUCUGUGUCAUCUCUUCUAUUCGGAUAAGAAUUUAUAGUCGGCAAAUUAAUGAUAUUUAUAUAUUCUAUCUAUAAUAUAUAAUAAUAAAUCAGAAACAAUUCCAAUUAAAAUAUUAGAAUAACAUAUGGAUUUCUGAUUAGAAUAGGCUCAUAUUACUUAAAUGUGUGUGAAUACAUGUGGAUAUGUAGUUUAUGAACACCCUUUUCUUAAUAUUAUCACCAUAAUUAAAUCUUAUCAAUAAUUAUUUUUUUUUUAAUCUUUAACAGCGUCUAUUGGCAAUAGCGUGGCAUUGACUAGUUAUUCUAGAAGGCUAUCUUGAUAUGCAUGCGUUCAUACUGAAAAUUAGAGAAGAUCACAUUUGGAUGUUUUGGCAAUUGGGUUUUUUUUGUAGAAGAUUGUGGAAUCAAUAUUUAUGGAUAUUAUUUAUAAAAAUCUAACUAAACCUAAAAGAUAAAAUUUAAAAAUAUAAUUUAUAUUAUUCUUUAACAUACCCCUAAAAUAAAAGUUAUUUGAAUUUAAAACUUAUACAUAUUUACAUUAACUUGUACUUAAUUUUUAUUAAAUAAAUAGGAAUUGUGACAUUCAAACUCGUGAUUAUGAAGUCAUCAAAAUUUUAAUACCAUAUUAAAAUAUCAAUUUAAUUUAAAAUUUUAAAAUAAUAUUUCAAAAUAUAAUUUAUAUUAUUCUUUAAUAAAUAUCUAUUAUCAAAGUUAAAAUUCAAUUCUUUAAUAAAUAUCUACCAGCAAAGUUAAAGAGUCGUUACCUUGUUGUAGACACCUUCAAUCAUAUCGCCGUACUGCCCAUCAAAGUGGACGAAUACGUGUGGUAUGGAGUAAUUCAAUCGUCUCACAACUUCGUCAAAGAGGUCAACGCAAAAACCUACUGGCCGCUUCUCGCCACUUCGAAAUGUCACAAACUUAUCGAACGAGGUUCUUUGAGGGACUAUUAUUCGCAAUGGCUUUGCUUCAGUAGGCAUUGCCCAUCCUUUUGGGUCUCGGCCGUUGAGAUCACCAGGCCAAAUCACUGGACCGGACAACCCUCCUGUGGUUUUACCACCAUCACUGUUUCUGCACCUUCCUUUGCCUUGUUCCACGUAGAGGGUAUCCGAGAAACCGCAAUUUGGCAACCAAAAAUCCAGUUCCUUACAUUUCUUCCCAUCCACAUUAACAAUCCUUAAUGUAGGAGCAUCUGACAGCAUCCCAUCCUUGAAACGUAUUCUACCACUCAAACCAGUGAAAUCGCUUUCUAAUACGCUGUUUAGAAACAUUUUUGGACUCCUAAUGUUGCUACCUAGUUUUUCUAUGGCCUGUGUGAUAAUACCAAUGCUGUCAUAGGCUCUUAAUGCUUGAAUUCCUGGCUGAAAAUCAUUUUCAUUUAGAUACUCUGACCGAAAAAUUUUCUGGAACAGUGCUUCGAAUCUUUUGUAAGAACUGUUGGAAGAAUAGUAGGUUUUGAUUCCUAGAGUGCCUUCCAUAGAAGAAAAAACAGGAUUGUCCACAGAAUCCAAGAAACUAGUAAUACUGUUUGCAACUAUCCAGACCGUGUCAUUGCCUACAAGCCCCGCUUUCUUAGCUUCUCCGAAAAUACAAGUGAGCAUAGGCAAAGAUGACUGAAGAACAAUAAAAACACGAGCUUCUGUUUGAUUUUGUAGCUUCAUAAGCUCAUCUUGAACAACAUCUUUUGGAUCUGUUAAAAAUGAAAACGGUGGAAGAACCAAGCGGUAUUCAAUCUCCGAACCAACCUCUUGUAGAGCCUCGGUUAAAAGAGCUAAAUUGCCAGAUUCACUUCCUAACACGUCAUCUUCAUAAAUCACGACUACCCUUUUCCAAUUAUAAGAAUGGACAAGAGCUGCAAUGCAUCUCAUCUGUUCUGACCCAUCACUGGCCAUUCUAAUUAGAAAAGGCCAACGAAGUGAAGUUGAUAUCGGGGUUCUGGCUGGUGCUGCAAAUGAAAGAAUUGGAACUUGAGACUGGUUUCCAAUAUUAGCAACCAGGGCUGCUUCCUCCCAUUUGUCCAUGCCAAUAAUCACUUCCACUUUCUUCUCUUUGAUCAGCUCUUCAGCUGCAAGAAAAAUUGACCAGUCACUACUGCUUCAAAUCUUGUUAAUGUUAAGCUAGAAACUCAAAAUCAUUUAGAGAUGGCUAGAUUAUUACCUGCAUAUGCUGCUUGAAGAGGGUCUCCUUUAGGAUGCUUGAAGUGAAGAGAGAGCUUGUGGUUUCUUGAGAUGUUGUUGAAGUUUUGGACUGCAAUUUCCAUUGCUGUUUUCUCUUCUUUCCCUGAACGGGAAUUGCCAUCAAUGAUAGCACCAAUAUUAGUAACCUUGUUAGUGCCGGCCGCAGCUUCAACUCCAUCAGAGAGGAUGAGAAGGAAGGUGAUGAGCACAGAUAAAAGAAAGAAAGGUUUUAGAACUUUAUUAACAGGAAUAAGAGGGCAAGUCCUUAGUUGGGAAUUUACUUUGGUGAACAAAUUAGCCCUUUUCAUUCUGUUAUACGAAGUUUUGAUUUUGAAAGUCUUAGAAUCCUUAUAAUACAUGGAUAUAUAUAUACACACACAUAUUCACCAAAGAUUUAUCUGUAGAAGGGGAAGACCAGAUAGAAUCUGAAAUUGCUAAGAAAACUGGUAUAAUUGAAGAUUAUGUCUGACCUGGUCAGCCUGGACCACAUCAAACUUUGACUUUAAUACGCACCCUAAGUAUUUCUAUAUUCUACACCUUGACUUGCAUAAAAGGAAACUACAUGUACUAAUUAAUAAUUGCCUACAAGAGUCAAAUUUCUUGUUUUCAUCACACCUCUCUCACAUUUGCGGGGUCCUACAAGAGUCAAAUUUCUUGUUUUCAUCACACCUCUCUCACAUUUGCGGGGUCGUUUCGAUUUAGUGAUGCAAUUGCAUGUUUUAACGAAGUGUGUGAUAUUAAACAAUUGUAGUUUAUUCAAUCUAAUCAAAAUGAAUUGAGUUUCGAGCUCUCUGGUUGCUCAUAUGAUGGUCACUGAAAACUUACAUGGUCGUUAACUUCAGGGCCCAUGAGAUUAGUCGAGGUGCGCGCAAGCUGACCCGGACACCCACGUUAAACUAAAAAAAAAAAAUGAACGGCAAAAUCAACUAAACCACCGGACUAAAUCUCUUGUUAAAAAAAUAUAAUAUUAUUUUAUUUUAUUAUUUAUUAAGAAUUCAAUAGUAUUUUCAGUUUUUUUGUUUAGUUUAUAUAUAAUUUUUUUAUAUUUAAAUUAUAUAAAUUCUUUACGAGUAUUUAUACAGUAUGAAUGAAAUUAUACUUCUCUUUAAUUUUUUUGGGAUUGCUUAACAAAUCUAAGAUGAGCUGAAACUAAUAAGUAGCAUAUUAUUAGAAAUUGUUGUUUAUUAUCAGAAUGAAUCCAUUUUUUACCGACAAUGGCAUGGCAUAAUUAAUUAUAGGUCUGUUGAAUUUUGUAGAUAACUUUCCAAACAAAUAACUGUUGAAUUUUAUCCAUUUUCUCUUUAUAGCUUUGAGUAUAAUACUUAAAAUUACAAAUCUAUUUAUAAAUCUCAAGUUCUAACUAAUUAAAAAAUUAAACUAUUCAAAAACUAUUCAAAGAAAAUCCGAAUCUAAUAAAGAAUCUAACAUUCUAUUUAAACAAGAAUUCAUAAAGGAUUCACAAAUCCUUCUUAUAAUAAACUAGUUUAUUAUAAAUCCUUCUUCAUAAAGGAUUCCUAUAUUAACUAGGAUUCCUUCUCUAACUAAUAUUAAAACUCUUAUAAACUCUAAAUCCUAUUAGCCUAAAUCCUAGUUGAUAUUGAAUUUCAACACUCCCUCUCAAUAUCAAUUGUCAUCAUUCUUCAUAACUCUCAACAUAUCUCUCAUCUUUGCAAAAAUAUCAUAUUUGAGUGGCUUUGUGAAAAUAUCUAUAACUUGGUCUUGAGUCUUUACAUACUUAACUUCAAAUUUCUUAUUUGCAAUGCAAACUCUUAGAUAAUGAAAUCUUAUGUCAAUGUGCUUACUUUUGUCAUGAAAAACUGGAUUUUAGCUAAUGCAAUGGCUGACGAGUUGUCCACAUAAAUCUUUGUAUGCUUCUCUUAUGGCAUUCACAACUCCUUCAAUAAUCUUUUUAGCCAUAUGGAAUGACAAACACAUGUUGUAGUAGCUACUAAUUCAGCUUCACAAGUAGAUAAUGUGACAAUAGAUUGCUUCUUUGAACUCCAUGUGAAAGUUGUGUCUCCCAUGUAGAAAACAAAACCUAUAGUGCUCUUUCUAUCUUCAUAUCUCCAGCCCAAUCACUAUCACUAUAACUCACAAGAUCAAAGCUAUUAGAAUAACCAUAGAAUAAGCCAAAAUCUAUGGUACCUUUGAUGUAUCGUAAAAUUCGCUUCAAGGCUUUGAAGUGAGUCAUAGUUGGUGUCUCCAUAAACCUAGUUACAAGUCCUACUCCAUAAAGAAUAUUCGGACGAGUGCAUGUCAUAUAUCUCAAACUCCCAACUAAACUCUUGAAUGUUGUAGAGUUUAUUUUCUCCCCUUCAUCAUUCUUUAACAUCUUCACUCCACACUCACUGGAGUAUUCACUUUUGUACAAUCUUCUAUUUUGAAUUUCUUGAGAAUCUCCCUUGUAAACUUCUCUUGAUUCACAAAAAUUCCAUCUUUUCGUUGUUUGAUCGUAAUCCCUAAGUAGUAGGAUAUAAUACCAAUAUAUGUCAUCUCAAGCUCCUUGAUCAUUGCUUGCUUGAAGUCUAUAAACAUCUUUGGAUUAUUUCUUGUGAAGAUUAAGUCAUCCACAUCCAAACAUACAAUAAGUGUAUCACCACUCUCUUUGAUCUUUACAUAGAUAACAUAUUUAUGGGGGCAUUUAACAAAUCCAUUCUUUAGGAGAUAGCCAUCAAUGUGACAAUACCAAGCCUAUAGGGCUUGCUUCAAUCCAUACAAGCUUUUAUUUAACUUUAAAACCUUGUCUUCAUAUCCCUUUACUUCAUAACCCAUAGGUUGCUCAAUGUGGAUUUAUUCUUCAAGAAAACCAUUAAGAAAAGUUGAUUUGACAUCCCUUUGAUGAUUCUUCAUCUAUGUUGGGCAGCGAUGGCAAUAAUUAAUCGAAUGGUCUCCAAUCUAGCAAUAUGAACAAAAACCUCUUCGUAGUCAAUCUCAUGCUUUUGACUAUAGCCUUUUGGCACUAAUCGUGCCUUACAUCUCUCAACCUCUCGUUUGGCAUUCUUCUUUUCUUUGUAGAUCCAUUUGACACCUAUUAACUUCUUUUCAUUUAGUCUAGAAACCAAUCUACAUGUGUCAUUUUUCUCAAUUUAUACAAUCUCCUCAUCUAUAGCAAUUCUCCAUUUUACAUUUUUUAUUGCUUCUUCAAACACUGUAGUAUCACAUGUAGUAAGAUGACAAUAUAGUGUUAUAUCAUUAAUAAGAUUAGUUACCUCAUAUAAGUCAUCAAGGCUUUUCAUCUUUCUUGGCAGAUUUAGUGGAGUGCCACUACUUGAGCUUUCAUUAGAAGAAGAAGAAGUUAAGCUCAUUGGUGUUUAUGGAGGUAUGACUAUAGGUUCUUGAUGAUCUUCAUAUCUUUCCUCAUCUUCAUCAAGAAUUAGUAAGAAUUCAUAUUUCCCACCAUCAUUUACCUUCCAAUCCCAUGUUUCUUCUUCAUUGAACUCAACAUCUCUAUUAAUCAUCAUCUUUCCUUCAUUACGGUUAUAAAACUUGUAUCCUUUAGAAUUUUGGUCAUAGCCUACAAAGAUCAUCCUUUUGCUUUUGUCAUCGAGCUUGGUUAUUACUUGAUCAUCUACAUGCACAUAACCAAUGCUCUAAAAAACUUUCAAAUGAGAGACACUUGGUUUUCUUCUACUCCAUGCUUCUUUUGGAGUCAUGUCAUUCAAGCUUUUAAUAUGACAUCUAUUUGACAAGUAAAUAACACAAUCUACAGCUUCAACCCAAAACUCUUUAGGCAUUUUCUUGGUUUUGAGCAUGUUUCUUGCCAUGUUGAGGAUGCUUCUAUUCUUUCUCACCACUAUAUCAUUUUAUUGUGUGGAUCUAGGCACCGUUAGGAGUUUUUUUUUAUACCAUUAUAUUCACAAAACUCAUUAAAAUUACUAGAACAAAAUUCACCCCCUAUCGUCUUAAGUGAUUUUAUAGAAUAAUCACUCUUCUUUUCAACUAAUAUCUUAAACUUCUUAAAAUAACUAAACACAUUAGACUUUUCUUUUAAGAAGUAUACUCAAGUCUUUCUACUAUAAUCAUCAAUAAAAAGUAGAAAAUAUAAAUUUCUACUAAACAAGCAUGGUUUGAUAUGAUCACAAACAUAGAUAUAUAUUUCUUGUAGGGGUUGAUUUGCUCUUGAUGUAGACUCUUUAAAAAAACUCUUGUGAAAUUGCUUGCCCACUAAACAUCCUUCACACAACUUAUUUGGAUGUAUAAUGGAUGGUAGACCCUUUAACAUCUCCUUUUAUGUCAUUAUCUUCAAGCUCUCAAAGUUUAUAUACCCAAGUCUCAUAUAUCAAAGUCAAGUUUCAUCUUUCACACAUGUGUUUAGACAUUUAGGCACAUUCAUCUCUAUGUUUAAGAAGAACAUUUUAUUCUUUUUCAUGGCUACCUUUACAAUCAUAUCUUCUUUAAUGUCAAGUAAUGUCAAAGUACGAUAUUUCAUCUUAAUCUCAUACCCUUUUUCCAACAAUUAUCCUAAGCUCAAUAUGUUGUUUUUCAUUAUUGGUAUAUAAUAGACAUCACCAAUAAAUUGAUAACUUUCAUCUUUCAAUUUAAUUAAAAUCGUACAUUUUCCUUUGAUGACAACCUUUGAAUGAUUUGCAAAGGUGACAUUACCUCUAAUUGCUUCAUCAAGCUUCAUGAACUUGUCUUUAUCUCCACACAUGUGAUUACUGGCUUCAUUGUCUAGAUACCACAUGUUCUCUUUAUCUUACAUUCUCUCAUUAUGCACUAGUAGUAGAGUGGCUUCCUUCUUUUCUUCUACCACAAGAUUUACAAUCUUCUUAACCUUCUUAGUUGGACUCCAGCAAUCCCUAGCAUAAUGACUUGUCUUUUAAAAAUUAUAGCAUCAAACUUUUGAUUUGUCAAAUCUGCUGUAAAAUCUAGAUCUCGUAUUGCUACUGCCAGUUAAACCAGUUGAUCAGAUCCCUUCAUUCGAUCGACUGUUUGAUCUGUUGAGGUUGCCUCAACCUCAUUUCCAAAUCUUCCUCUUCCUCUUUCUUAUUGGGAAUAUCCAAAACCAUCUUGCUUUGAAAAAAGUGCUUGUGCACCCAUAUCCUUUUGAAUCUCAUUGACUUUUUCCUCAUGGGCUUGUAAUUUUGCUAUGAGACCUUAUAUUAAAAGAAAACCAUAUUUUGUGACUCCUCUAUAGCGACCACUAUAUAAUGGAACUUCUUUUGCAGCAAGCAUAGGAUUUUCUCUAUCAUACGUGUCUCUUCCAUCUUCUCCUCAUAUCUCUUUAUUUGAUUGUAUAUAGCCAAUACUCUUGCAAAGUAUUCUGAAAUAUUCUCUGAUUUAAGCAUAUGUAAAUUUUCAAAGUCACCACGUAGUUUUUGUAGACGUACAUAUCUCACAUUGUUAGCUUUUUGGUUUGAUUCUUGUAAAACUUCAUAUGUUUGCUUAGCGGUGGUUGCAUUGGCCAUUAUCUCAAAUGUGGUGUCAUCUAGACAUUAGUGGAUGAUUGUUAAUGCAAGUUGAUCCUUCCUUCAUACCUUUUGCACGACCUUUCUUUGGACUGAAGUCAAUAUUGCUUUAUUUAUAGGCUCCUUAAAGCCUUUUUCAACCGUUUCCCACACAUCUUGGGAACCUAAUCAAGAUUUUACUCGAAUACACCAAGUUUGAUAGUUGUUCUUCGUCAACCUAUAACAUUAAAGUGGAAGGUUUGAAUUGACCAUGUUAAAUAAUCAAACCUAAGCUCUGAUACCACUUGUUGGAAAAGAAUAAUAGGGUGUGGUAGCUAAUUUAUAAGAACAAAGCUAACGAACAAGAAGAAGAAUGUGAGGAAUGAUAUUUUAUUAAGAGUUUUCUCAAAAGAUCACCUUUAUAGCUCUUUUCUAUCAUAAGAAUUAUGUUGAUGAUGCAAGAUGAAUAUACGUGUGAUUUAUAUUUAAUUGUAAUGGUGGUGAUCAUAAUAUAGAUAUGAAUGACUAUAAUGAUAGUAGUCCAUAUAUAUAAAUUAAAAUUGACCAUAACGAUGAAAGCUAAAAAAGAAAAAAGUAUAUAAAUCAGUGGCAACAACAAAUUAUUCUAUUAUUUGUUAAAUGUGUUUGGAAUAAAAAGAAUUGAGUUACGUGAUUGGAACGGAAAGAUGCAUAGUAUGGUCAAAAUAAAAAUAAAUAGAUUAAAUAUUGAAGGAGGAAUAUAUGAAUUAAUUGUGAAAACAUGAUUAAUAUGAUAAUUAGUUAGUCGUGUGGAUGGUGACUAAGGUUAUGGAUAUGAUAUUUAAUCGGUUAGAGGAGACUAAGGUUAUGAAUAUGAUACUUUUUCAGCCAUGUAGACGACACUAAGGUUAUGAAUAUGAUACCUAGUCAACUAUGUGGAUGAGACUAAGGUGAGGGAAAUGAUACCUAGUCAGUCGUGUGGAAGGUGAAUAAGAAUACAGAUAUGUUACAUAAUCAGCCAUUUGGACGGAGGCUAUUGAUAUAAAUAUGAGAAUUAGUGGGUUAUUUAGAUUGAGACUUACGAAAUUAAAUUAAAGUUCGCUAUUUGAACCGAAAUGAACUAGUAUUGGGUAAUAAUUAUGGUUAAGGAAAAUACGUAAGCACUGAAUAUAAUCAAAUACUUCUUAAUUAUUUUUCAUGUUAUUAUGAUAUUUAAAUUUGUAGCAUGAAUAUCAUUUCAAAUGGCUUUUCAUUUGGUAGUGAGUGAAUGUUUUUAUAUGCCAAGAACUUAUGAUUAUUGAUUUUGAAAUGUUUAUGUUAGAUUUUCUCAUGUAUUUCAUGGACAUAUUUGUAUAAUUGAUAGGGAGAAUGUAUUAUGAUCUAUAGGGGGGCAAUCAUUCAUAAAUUUUGUUGACAUGUUAAUACUUUUGAAAGUAUUUAAUAGUUUGUCAUCAUAAAAAAAAAAUAUUAGCAAAAAGCUAUCAUUUGCUCAUAGUUUUGAUGAAUCAAACCAAUAAGAAGUUAAUAAUCAUUUUCUUAAGGUUGUGUUGAUAUUGGUUCUUUACUAUGUCUGACAUUUCAAGGAUUAUUGACAAGUCUUGAAGUUGUGAUAAAAAUAUGGAACUAUAUUAAUGGUAUACUUUUCUUCAAAAUUAGUCUUAGGAUGUUGUUAUAUGUGAUUCAAGUCUUUUUAAAAACUAUAUUCUUAAAACCAACUUUUUAUACCUAAAAUAUUAUUAAGAAAAAUUAGUCAUAAAAUUCUCUAAAACACCUUAUGACCCUUAAAAAGUCUAAGGCCUCUACUACACUAGAUAACCAUACAAAACACAUCUCUAAAGCUUUUUGGAAUGCUACACAGUAAGCCAAAUAGUAUAUGGUAUACCAAUUAACUAAACUAAAUAUAAAAUUUCAAAGACAACUACUAAACUAGACAUCUUUACUGGAUAAACAUUUUUUAGACCACUCGUAUACUAGAUGAUUUUUUAGCAUAUGUGGUUGGCCACUUAUUACUUGAAUGAGUUGAAGUUAUUCUCAAUUUCUUGUACUCAAGUGUGUGAGAGUCGUACCAAGCUUGUCCUUACAUUUAUGUUUGAAUUUGAAAAUACUUCAUCUCUCGUCUUCCAACUUGGAUAAGCAAAACAAGCAAUUUAAUUCUCAUUUCUAUGACACCACUCUUUUCUCUCUUGAAUAAUAUAGUUUUUACAUCAUUUAGCUGAAACCAUAUUGUAUACCAAUCUUUAAAAAUUCAAAUUUCUUUGCCUAUUCUUAUAUAUUCUAAACAACUACAACCUUAAUUUUUUCUAUAAAUUGGCCUCUUCUUGUACAUUUUAAAGGUUGUUACAAUCAUUAAGCUUUUAUUCCUGUUUUUACAAAAUCAAUUCCUUUAAUUUCCAAGCUUACUCUUUAUUAUUCUCUUACUUAUUGAUUGUUUCACUUAGCUCACUUAAAAAAGAGUUAGAUUACACAUAUUAAAGACUUGAGAUUAUUUUCUAAUAUAAUCUAUUUUUUUGUGUAUAUUUGAUUUCAUUCAUUUUUAGUAAAACUUCUUGUUAAAGUGUAUAUGGCACUAUAACCACUUGGAUUUCAGUUAUGACCUUUUAUGUGUGAGCUUGUAUAGGUUUCGGUUUAUCUCCGUAAAAAAGGCAAUGUUGAGUUUGAUCUUGUUGUUAAAAGGUCGUUUGGUUCUUUAACAUAGAGUGUGGAGUAGGCGAUUAGUUAUAAAAGAAAAUGGAAUAUGUGGUUAGAACAAAUCACUAUAAAAUUUAUUUGUAUCUCUCUUACCUAUCUCUUUAUUUAUUUUUUAUUUUUCAUCUUUUUUUGCACUAUUACUUGUGUUGUUAUGUGGAUUAUAUGUUUAAACACGCCAUUUUCGUGUGUGUGGGUGACAGAAAUUGUUGUGGUCAUGUGCUUGAUAUUAUUGUGUGGUUGAAAAGGCUGUCGUGGUUGUGAUCUUGUUCCUUGAGGUAAUUUGGUCUAAAACCAAAUUAUUGGAUAUAGUUAAAAAAUACCUCAUCCAUUUCCCUUUCUUAGAUGCUAGGGGUAUCAAAAGAAUUAUGAGAUCAAGAUUCAUGAUUAAGUUUGUUCUCAAUUUUUUUAAAUGAAAUCUAAGAUCAAUAAUAAUUUUGGAAAAGUUUAAUUGGAUCUUGAAAGAUUUUAAGGUAAAUAUACAUAUAUUUUAGAGUAAAAAAUGGAUUUAUAAAGAUGAUGGGAGAUAAGUUUGAUAUAUUUUUAAUUUAAAUGGUGUAAAAAAUAGAGUUUUAGAGGGAAAAUAGGUAGUGAGUAGUUAUUUUUAUAAUCCAAAAGUCAUUUGAAAAUAUAAAACAAACCACAAGUCUUUUAAAUUAGAUACCUUGUUAUUUUUUAAACUACGAGUCUUUUAAAAUUUUAAAUUUAUUUGUCACUAACUAAUAUAAUUAAUAUAUUUUUACAUAUUAAUAUUAUUAUCAAUAUUUUUAAUUGAGAAUUUAUGGAGCCAUAUAACUUUAGAGGUUAAGAAGAUUUUUGAAUAAUAAUGAUAAAUAUUUUUUAUUUUGACUUUUUAUUUUGACGUGAUAAAAUUAUAAUUAAAUUUCGGUCUUGAUUUUAGAAACAUUGGUUUAUGAUAAAACUUUUCAUCUAAAAUUAAUGGAGGAAUAAUACUUUAGAAUUUCUCACAGAUUCAUAAAUCUUUAUGAAAGGAUUUUUUUAGUAAAAAAUAAUAUUUUUUUUACUUAAUUAAUAAAAAAAUCAUCUAAUUUUAUUGAACUUAAUCUUGGUAGUCCCGCGCAAACAUGUUUGCUAGUUUUUUCUAUAAGAUUUACUUCCCUUUACUUUAAGAUUCAAGAGUUUUGCAAUAUAUUUUUUGCUUUCAAUCCGUGGAUUUAUUAAAUUUACCAGCAAAUGUACAUAAAUAAUACCCAUGAGUUUCCUGUGUUUAUAUAUAUAAAAAAGGAGAUAAAUCACCCUCCCAAAUCAUAUCCUGAAUCUAUAGACUUUGCUUAGUGUAUACAUCUAAUCCUAUUGACAAUUUUCGGUGCUUAGUCAACAACGACUUUAAUCACUGCAAAUGGAGUUCGGAGAACAAAUUAAUAUUCACAGUAACCUUGAUCUCUGGCCAAGUUCUUCAUUUUCUUUUCAUCUUUUUGAUCCUUAUGUCGUGGAAUUUAUGGCAUUUCAAUCUCAGCUUGCGAGGAACCCUAAUUAUUCUCCAAAUUGUCAGAGUUACUCACAUAUUCCCACUUCGUAGAGCCCCAUUCAUCCUUAUGUAGUGCUUGAGCAAAAGUUGAAACCCUCCUAAGAACUCUGGUUUUUUCUCCGUUAUAAAAGCAUUUUGUAAUUCUAUCUCCACUGCUUGAACCACUCUUACCACCUGGAGUGAGAUGGCCUCCAUCUGCUUCUUGAUGAGGCCGUGAACUCCUUAACAAGCGAAAGAGAAAUAGUAGAAAACAGAUAGUAGAUACCGCAGCAGAUACAAUGUAGAUUCCCUUGAAGCUGCGGACGCUCAAGCUUUCGAAAUUAUUAUUAGUUGCCGAAGUUGAACACUCAGGUGAGGGGGCAAACCACUUUUCUUCCAAACGUGUUAUGUUCCCAUCCUCCGAUAGGCAUAGAAUCUCUCUAGAAAAAUCAGCAGCAAAAGGAGAGCCUUUUUGGAACGCCUGAAGGUGCAGAAAAUAUCAUAAUAUUUAGUAAUAAACAAACGUUCAAAGAAAUGGCUACACCGUGUUUCAAGUCUUUAAAAAGGUUCCUGACAUCAUAAGGUAAAGAAAAUAGAAUUGCAUGAGUGCAUAUUAAUACUUACAAAGCCGAACCCUCCAAAUCUGUAUGCUGCUUUUGUGCUGGUGUAACUUUUACAAUGUUGAUUGAGGAAAAGUCUCUCAUAUGGGAGUUCAAGAAAAGCAGCAGCUAUGUUGUUCCUUUCAAAAUCAGUACUUGUGUAAUCAUUUUCAGGGUUAUAGAUCUUGAUUUUAUCGUGAUCAAAUCCAAGAACAUCCUUGACGUACUCCUGGAUGAAAGAUUCAUUAUUACAACCAACAUUUAACUUGUCGUUCUUUAGUUUCUCAAACUCUGAAAAAUUCGGUUUCAUUCGUUGCACGGUGAGCAUUGAAGUCAAACUGGCAGUGUAGCUUGAGGUUAAGAUAAAGACAACACAAAGCCACGCUACCACCACAACUCGAGUGAAGUUGCUAUAAAGUCUCUCCCCUGCAAAAUGUAACAGUGAGCUUCAGAUUAAGGUUACUGACAGAGAAUGUGCCAUCAAAGAGUCUUGGAUAUAUAUGCCACAUGUAACUUGUGAAACUGAAUACUUACUCUGAGCAAAGAAUAGAGAUGAAAAUGUGAACCAAAGCGCGGUCCCGAACUGAUACUUCCGAGGGCCUCUAAAUUCUGGAUUCGUUUGGUGCUCCAGGAACCAAAUUAUAAGCAUUGUGUAGAUGAACAUAGCACCGCUCACCAUCCACAUCUCUAAGUUAAAAGGCUUCAAAAAAAUCCAUGCUGUAUCUUCAGUCUCAAGUGGAACUAUCAUGGACAAUCCUGACUCUGCAUAAGGUUGAGUGAAUUCUACGUAUUCUGCUCUUUCAGCUAAUAUAUAUGGUUAUAUCUCCAAUGGCAGCAUCAUAAGUCUUCCGAUUAACAAGUGGCACAAAAGUCAAACAAUGGCACUCAGCACAAAAAUAAUUUUGAAAAAACAGCUGAUAGAACGAGACAGGAGCAAAAUAAUGGCAAAAUCAUACAACUCCUCAGAUGGGUAUGGUGGAGAAAUUUCAAUUUCUUCUCAGAAACAAUGCUAUAUGAAUUUAUUCUUGGCUUUGAGUUGCAGCCAAUUUUGACUGUUUCUUCUCUUCUAUUCGGAUAAGAAUUUAUUCUUGGCUUUGAGUUGCAGCCAAUUUUGACUGUGUCAUCUCUUCUAUUCGGAUAAGAAUUUAUAGUCGGCAAAUUACAGUUGAUAGAUGAUAUUUAUAUUCUAUCUAUAAUAUAUAAUAAUAAAUCAGAAACAAUUCCAAUUAAAAUAUUAGAAUAACAUAUGGAUUUCUGAUCAGAAUGGGCUCGUAUUACUUAAAUGUGUGUGAUAGAUACACGUGGUAUGAACAACUUUUUUUUAUAUCAUCACCAUAAUUAAAUCUUAUGAAUAAAGUUUUUUUAUUAUCUUUAAUAGCGUCUACUGGCAAUAGCGUGGCAUUGACUAGUUAUUCUACAAGGCUAUAUUGAUAUGCAUGCGUUCAUACUGAAAAUUAGAGAACAUCACAUGCGAACAAUUGGGGUUUCUUGCACGAAGAAGAUUGUGUAUUUGAUAUUAUUAAAUAAUUAAUUCAACUUAAAAAUUUAAACUUUUUAGAUAAUAUAUCAUAAUAUAAUUUAUAUUAUUUUUUAAUAGAAUAAAAAAGCACAGUUAAAGAGUCGUUACCUUGUUGAAGACACCUUCAAUCAUAUCACCAUACUGCCCAUCAAACUCGACGAAUACGUGUGGUAUAGAGUAAUUCAAUCGUCUCAACACUUUGUCAAAGAGGUCACCGCAAAAACCUACAGGCCGCUCCUCGCCAGGUCGAAAUGUCACAAACUUAUCGAACGAGGUUCUUUUAGGGACUAUUAUUCGCAAUGGCUUUGCUUCAGAAGGCAUUGCCCAUCCUUUUGGGUCUUGGCCGUUGAGAUCCCCAGGCCAAAUCACUGGACCGGACAACCCUCCUGUGGUUUUACCACCAUCACUGUUUCUG